rnacentral:lncRNA from 1 species
CCUCAUCAGGGUCCUCUUCGGUUUCUUCUUCCUCAAGUUCCUCUUGAAAUGUUUUUCCACAACCGGGCUGAGACUAUGUCUCAGUAAGUUCUACCCCCUAAGACCCGAUUAGUAAGAAAAUACGCCUUAGGGGCUACCUAAGCACAACCACACAACUUGAACAUGCAAUUGUCGAUUCGCAUACAUCCUUACCUAGUAUGCCAUAGCCUGCACGUUAUAAUUCAGCAUGAUACACGCAAUGCACAUGGCCAUUAGAUGAUGCAAUCAUCAAUCACAUGAGUCACGUCACAAGUGACCUUACCUGGCUAUUGCCACACCCUGCACGUCAUUGAUUCACAAGUGCCAUAAACGAUGUGCUUAACUCAUGCCUUUAAAUUAAUUUCAGCCACACAGGCACAAUACCCAACACACAGAAAUACAGCCUAAUAGGCUCGACAUUACACCACACAAGCACGUUCCAAGCCACACAGGCCUGAUGUUACGCCACACAUGCAUGAUCUAUUUUCGCCGCACAGGAAUGUUCUACACCACAUGAACAUGAUUAAGUAUCGCCACACAUGCGUGAUCAAAUAUUGCCACAAAAGCAUGUUCUACACCACACGAACAUGAUAAAUUAUCGCCACACAGGCAUGAUUAAUUAUCCCCACACAGGCAUGAUCAAUGUGAUAUAUAUUCAACAAUUUACGUGCAUUCUCUAAGACAUCCUAUAUGCCAAAGCGAUGUAAUAAUCGCCGAGCCACGUCACACGGCAUUUCUUCUCAUCUUUUAUCAUACCCGAUAAAAUAUCAUGCGUGGGCACACAAUUGGUCUUAGCCAAAAUAUAAUAUUUUCCUUUCCAUAACUCUUACAUUUUCUAUAGUCCACUAAAAUAAUUAUGGCAUUAUUAACCGAUGCCCAGUUAUUUUUCAACUAAUAACCAACCUUAUUCAAUUUAGGAAUAAAUCUCAAAUUCACAGAUAAUUCAAUUCAGCACCAAAUAAAGCUCAAUUAAAUAAACAGAUUGCGCCAUGACAAUCAGCAUAAGAUUCUGGUCGUUGACUAUCCCUGCCUAAUUUUCGAAAAAAUAAAUAAAUAAAUAAAUAAUUUCAAAAAUUAAUAAAUAAAUACUAAAAAUCCAAUUUAGGCUUGUAAUGCCUAAUUGGACGCCAGAAUGGAUCAAGAAAAAUCCCGAGAUGCAUUCAAUAAAUACGAGUAUGUCUCUACUUGCUAAUUACACAAAUCAAUUGCCUAAUAUGCAUCAUUAAGUCACUAAUUAAAUUACUCUAAACUAAUUUAACCACCUAAUUGGACUUAAUUAAAUCUAAUCGACCCUUAAGAAUCAUUAACCGACUAAUAAGGGAUUAGUGAGCAAAACUCACUUGAUUAACGUGCGAGUCGGAUCAAACCGACGGGAACGUUGCAGGGGACGUUUUUCUCCAAAGCGGGCCUAAAGUCCGAGGCCCGCAAGCACCUCAAAAUGGCCUCCAAAGCUUGCUGGAAACCCACUAUUUUUCUUGCUGUUCUUGGCUGGAAUUGAAGGGAAAUCAACUCGGUUUAGGUGGGAAUUGCUCGAGAAUGUAAGAAUAGGCCAAAUUGGGCCUAGAGGAGGACUCACGGGGGUUCAACGAGCUUGGGACAGCCCCGGGUGAGCUUCAACAGAAUCGGGACAGCAGCUGGGAGGUGAGAGGGUGGCGGCCAAGGGGCGGUGUGUGUGGGUGCUACGCACGGGGCGGCGGCGCGCAAACUGGCGACGAUGAGGCGGCGAUCCGGCAUGAGGCGGCUGCAGCUUCUUCUUUGCUGUUGGUUUUGUCUAAAAUGAAGAGAGAAUGGAGUGGAUGGCAAGAAGAAGGAGAGAAGGAAAGUAGUGUGGAGGAAGCUUGGCCUUGGUGGGUCCUUUGGCCAAUUUUUUUCCACCAAGUUGUCUCCCAAAUACUUGCCCAUCAAGCCAAUAAUCCAUGGCUGUCAUUGAUCCACCAAAUGGUCCAUUUUGCUAGGCCAUGGGGGGAGUUAUGAAUUUGACACAAAUCUUUCUCAAUUGGACACCGUUCCUCACUCAAUUCAAUUUCAUUUGGCCUUUAAAAAUUCAAUUGACAUCUCAAUGCCUCUAUUAUAAUUUUCCUCACCCAAUAAUCCAUCUUGCAUCUCAAAUUUGCAACUAAAAAUAAUCCUCGGCCUUGAUUGAACAAAAAGGUCAUAAACCGACUUUUUCCCAAAAAGUCUCGGUUGUUAGAAAAAUCCUCUGAGACUAAGUCGUGGGUCAUAGAAUUUAUUGUGACAUGACAGAAUCUUCAAUUUCUGAAAUCGGACUUGAAUUAGCGGUUAAUUUCCAUUCGGCACAUUUUUAGCGUGACCUAGGCUACCGGGUAGUUUUCAGAAAUUUUUAGGGCAAAUGACCCGUGGUCGAUUUUCUUCAAACCACUAUGAACCUACUCGACACAUUGGCGACUCUCAGUUGUCGUGAAAAUCUCGAAGGUUCAAAUACGAACAUAGGGCACCAAAACGACAAUAAAAUCAAAUUAGUGUCGGUCGAUGAGAAUUUCUCAAUUUAGUGGCAUCACCCACGAUCGGCCACACAUCUCAGUCGAACGGACCUAUCUUUGAUCUCAAAUCGAUUUUAUACUGUGUCGUAAUGAUCUCUAAAGAUGAGCACGGUCGAGAAGCCGAUUCUUGGUCAAAUUCUCCAAUCUAUUGCCUUAAAAUUUCUUAAUGGCUUCCCCAUAUAGUUUAGUUAUCUCAUUAGUGGCCAUCUCAGAGAAAAGCACUAUAGGCACAUCAAUGAAAUGUACGGUUUAUUUAGUAGAAAAUAGGAUUGAAAAUUUGGGAUGUCACAUGUGUUGCUGGGCUUGUUGCCGUGGAGAGAAUGCUGGUUCGGUGGAGUCUUGCUGGAGUGUGUUGACCAGGCAAAAUGGCAGAUGUGGACUUCGUCGGGGAAGCUAUCUCGACGGGAAAAUUAAGAACAAGCUGUAGGACAAUUGGGGGCAAAAGAUGGUGGAGAUGGCAGAACAUGUGCAGGGAAAAUGAAGGUGAAAGAGAAGCUAUCCAGGGGGCUGGCGGAGCGGGUGUAGGCAAGAGAGAAAAGGUGAGGGGCAGCUGGCAACGUGCGAAUAAAAGAGAGGAGGGAGAGUGGGGCUUCGGCAAGGAGACCAGAGGAUAAGUAUGACUCAAAAAGUCAAAGAAGUGGGGAAAGAUGGUGGGACACGACAUAGGAGCUGUCAGUUUGGGGGGGAAAACGUGGGAGUGAGAGAGAGAGAAAAAGGAAGGGAGAGACGUGCGGUCGAAGGGGGGGGGGGGGUGGGAAAGAAGUAAAAAAAAAAGGAAAUUCCCAUAACCAUAAUUCUUGGUCACACUUGCUCUUAUUUAAUCCAAUCUAGUCCCAAAAAAUCUCCAUGCCAAAAUACUUAAUCCUCACUUACUUUGUUGCACCAAAUUUCCCCCAAAUAACAAGUCUUGGGCAACAAAAACGGCUAUUUCCCUCAAUUCCGAAUUCUAUGUCUUUUUUUUUCCUCGGAAUCCAUUUACUGAACAAACCUCUCAGAUUGAGGUCCAAUUUCGUUGAAGAAAAAGCCUACACAACUUCCUUUCACCAAGUAGUUCACACAGAGGCCAAAUCUCUUCAAUUUGGCCAAUCCGAAUUUCCGUUCGUUUUUCGAAUCGUUCCGAAUCGACUUUUCGUAAAAAUCCUAAACUCACCGAAAAUUCCUCGAAAAAUGAGUCGAUGUUCCUAAAAUGGCUUGUGUCACGACAGAACUUUCAAUUUCUGAAAUUGGAUUCAAAUUCGCGGUUAAUUUCAAUCCGACAUGAUUUUAGCGUGACCUAGGCUACCGGGUAAUUUUCAUAAAUUUUUAAUGCAAAUGACCCUUGAUCGAUUCUCUUUGAGCCACAACGAACCUCUUUGACACUUUGGCAACUCUCAAUUGUCGUGAAAAUCUUGAUAUUUCAAUUACGGACACAGGGUACCAAAACGAUAGAAAAAUUAGUCUAGUAUCGGUCGACGAGAAUUUUGUAGUUUAGUGAAAUCACCCACGCUUAGCCACAUAUCCUAGUCGAACUGACAUAUCUCUGAUCUUUAAGCGAUUUUUAACUGUGCUGUAAUGAUCUUUGCAAAUGAGCAUGGUCGAGUAAUCGAUUUCUAUCUAUUGCAUUAAAAUUCUUUUAUGACUUCCUCAGAUAGUCUAGUUAUCUCAGGAGUGAUCAGCUCUGAAAAUAACACUAUAGAUGCGUCGAUGAAAGGCCCGAUUAAUUUAAUUGAAAGCAGAACGGAAAAAUUCAAUAUGUCACAUUUUGGAAGUCUAAUUGAGGGGAGGCUUACACAACUAAAACUAGUUGUACAAAAAUUCAAUCCAAUAAAUUACUUUUUUUAUGUCAAACAACUUGAAUUAGUGUUCUGGACAAAGAAACAAAGUAAUGGCGAGAGUAGCACGUCGAGAGUAGCACGUGACUUUUCCUGCCAAGACUUUCAUUAAUUAUUUCUUCAACUAGUUGGUGCGAGUCUGAAAUUUUUUUUUUCCCUUUUAUUUUUAUUUUUUAUUUUUUUAUAUACAUGAAGGAAGGCCGCAGGUGACUUCCAGGCAAUAGAGCUUAGUAACAAUGUAAUAAUAAUAUAUAUUUCUGAGACCACGUCCGAGGACGACGACUUCCAUCAGUUCUUUCCUAUUUAGUGCGAUCCGUGUGGCCCUUCUUUUAAGCUUAUGAAGGAAGGCUGCAAGUGACUUCCAGGCAAAGGAUUAUUUCCUCAACUGAGCGAUCUCACUCUGUUUGCGUGGGGGCUUUUAGGCCAAGGAGCAAACGGGAAAAGGUAAGGAAAGUUCCAUUAGAUGUUUGCGUGGGGAAGAGCUUCAUUUUUUAGUUGGACUGUUGUUUCCAAGACCAAACAGACUUGCCUAUUUGUAGGCUCGUUUCGACUGUCGUUCUUCAGUUAAUUUCUCUGAACAUUGUCUCUGCUUGUUCUUUUCGCAUGCUGAAUAUUUUAUUAGCCAUUAUUUUUAACUAUCACAAAUUAAGCUAGAGAUCACCAACUACAACUACCAACUAGAGACUUGAAUCUUACAGAAGUCUAGCAGUUUCUAGAAAUUUGAUCAAGACGUCCGUAGCUUUAUCAAGUUGUUUCAAGGAUCAGACUCAAGACUUCCCGAGUCACCCCGCAGACUCGAUUCUGAGAUCAAUAACUCCAUUGUCCUCUUGGAAUGAACAGAAAUAGUGAGGCAGAAGAGACGGUGGCACCCGCGGCGACAGCGAUGGAGGUGGCGACAGCAGCUCCGGCAAGCAGCAGUCAUGAUGGUGGAUCGGAGAGGGGCCUGAUGGCGGUGGCAACGGCAGCUCUAACGAGCAAUAGCCAUGAUGGCAGAUUGGGGAGGACCCAUGAGGUAUUCCUGAGUUUUAGAGGACCUGACACCCGUUUAACCAUUGUGGAUUCCCUGUACAAAGCCAUUGAACAUGCAGCAAUCAGUGUUUUCAAAGAUGACGAAGAGCUCCGAGUCGGUAAAGAGAUUGGAGGUAAUCUUAUGCAAGCAAUCAAUGAAUCCAGAAUUUACAUCCCGAUUUUCUCCAAAAACUACGCUUCAAGUAAGUGGUGCCUCCGUGAGCUCGCACACAUAAUGAAGUUAUCGAGAGACGACAUUGAGAAAGUGAUACUCCCUAUAUUCUAUGAUGUGGAUGCGGAUGAUGUUAAGCUUAAGACUGAAUUAUAUAGGACAGCCCUCCAAAUUCACGAGAGUGACUCUGGGAAGGAUAUGGCAAAGCAGUGGGAGGAGGCUUUAAGAGAGGUUGCUGGAAUUAAAGGAUGGAAUCUAAAAGAUUACGGGUAUUGUUAGCUUCUUCCAUUAAGUUUAUUUUCAUUUCGUCAAUUUCGAAAUUAUAUUCUAUGAUACUUUUUCCAGAGUAAUAACUUUCAGUUUGCUGCUGUCGAAUCUUAUAUGAUGUAUGGUUGAUCGGCCGCAGUGAGGGAGGCAGAAAUUUUGCUCAGGGAGCAAGGUUUCUUGCAUAAAUUGACUUUUCACUUUUAAUCCCAAGUUUUGAUAACAAUAGUAUCAAGAUAUGUCAACUUAAUUAAUCAAUCAUUAAUGCAAAAAGAAUAUUUAUGAAAAUCUAAGAGUUGAUGAAAUAAUAAGACAACAUAUGUGUGAAAAAUAAAAAUUUAAAUCUCUUAACUUUGCAGCUCACUUUUCGGCUAGCAAAAUGCUUUUAAAAAAACUUCGGUCAUUUCUCUUGCUUUGACCUAUUCACGGCCCCUGAUUGUACUUAGGGCACCACAGGGUACGGAUUUCCUUUGCCUUGUGACCAUCCUAGUUUUAAAGUUGUCAACUUUUAUAUGAAAGUACUUAUCUUAAUUUGUGUCUUACCAACUUCUUUUCGAUUAACUAAUUUUAGGUUACCAGCGUUUAUUUAAGUCAUUUAUUAAGUUUAAUUGAUUGUUUGCCGAUUUACAAAUUUUAUAGAAUCUACCAUCUCUUAUUUGAAUUGUUUACUUCACAUUUCAAAGUUACCAAUACUUGAAACAAAUCAAUAACCCUAAUGUGAGUUUCAUACUAACGAAUCUCUAAUUAAGUUACUAGCUAAUUUAAGUUACCCAUUCCUAUGUGAACCACUUAUCAAUAUUUAUAUUUUGUUGAAAAUUCCACCUUUUGUAACAAACUUUUGUUAUCAACGGACCCACUUUUAUUAGCAUAGUUCACAAACAUUCUGAGGUUAGGAACUCAAUUAUCAAAUUACCAAGCAUGUAAUUUGAGUUACUUACCAACUUAUUCUGAUUAAAUUACCAACAAAUUUAAUGUGACUGAUGAAAUCACUAAGUUAAACCAGUUGGUAGCUUAUUCAGAAAAAUGAUUGUUGGCAACUCAAAUGAAGGCUGAUAAAUACUCUGAAAGUGUUCCUCAUAUUUUCGGUUACUACCCUAUUACUCGGGUACAUUAAGAAAAAUGCUUUUGAGCUUUUAUUCUUGUUUUUUAAAUUCCAGGUAACUGCCUAGUGAGAAAAUCUUUUUCUUUUAUGUCAAUCUUCAAACUCAUCUUUAGUGGCUGAAGAGAUAAAAAAGACCGGGUUCACCGAGGAAUUCUAGUCAAAGCCCAAUUAGACCUUCGUCAUGAAAUAACCUUUUUCCUACCAUUAACCAGACCAAAGAGUCCUGACGGGAGCUGCUUUUUUUUUUUUUUUUGGUGGCAAACGGCUCGCAGCAUGAAUGAUCACUCAUUUCAUGUUGGUUGCUUUCAAAGUCAAUUACUUUAAAAUUUGAUGAUAACCAUCUAGUGACACGUUAUGCAGGCAUAGAUUCCAUAUGUGAUUUUUUUUAAUCUGACAUGAUUGCAUGUUAUGUAUGUGGCAGCCUAUAUAAACUUACAAACCUCAUGGUGGAAGAGGUUUCAAAUUUGCUAUGGACAAGACGAAGAGACAUGUCUAAUCAUUUGGUGGGAAUUAAAGAUCGAAUGGAUCACAUUAUGAAGCUAUUAGAUGUAGGAGCUUUUGAUGUACGAUUUAUUGUGAUUCAUGGUAUGGGUGGCAUUGGAAAAACGACACUAGCCGAGGCCGUCUUCAAGCAAAUCUACCCUCAAUUUCGGGAUCAUUGCUGUUUUCUCAAAGAUGUUCGAACUCAUGAUAUAAUAGGUUUACAAAAGAAAUUGCUGUUUGACAUUCUCAAUCUUAGUUGCACAAACCCCUUCUUCAUUGAUGAAGUGAUCAAGACAAGGUUUCUUGGCAAGAAAGUCCUCGUUGUUCUUGAUGACAUUGACAACUGGGACCAAAUCAUGAGACUUGUAGGCGAGCCCAACUGGUUUGGUGGGGGUAGUAGAAUCAUCAUAACAACAAGGAAUAUUGAAUUCCUGGUAAAGGAAGGUGAGGAUGACAAUCUCCCAAUCUCUAAUAGCGGACAAUUUUCAUUCUACGAUAUGCCGGAGAUGAAUUCACAUGAUGCUCUUCAACUUUUCUAUGCGCGUGCCUUGGGACAUGCCAAGCCUCUGCCUAGUUGCAUGGAUAUCACAAAAAAGCUAAUCAAUGCACUAGGAGGACUUCCAUUGGCUCUCAAUGUCGUAGGUUCCACGCUCCGUGGAAAAUGCCGAAGAACAUGGGAAGACACUCUAUGUAAGUUAAAGAAGGUGAUGAAUGAGGAUGUCAAGAAGAAGUUGAUGAUAAGCUACGAAGCAUUGGGAACUAAUCAACGGCAAAUUUUUCUUGAUAUCGCAUGUUUCUGCUUCAACAAAGAGAAAACAACUGCAGUUAAAUAUUGGGAUGCAAUUUUUGGGUAUCCUACCGAAAUUGAGGUCAAUAGCCUUAAACGUAUGUCUCUGAUAAAAAUAUCGAACGAUAAUAAACUAUGGAUGCACGACCAACUUAGAGACCUUGGAAGGAGUAUCAUCCAUCCAGAAAGUGGCGAAAUCCAUAUGAAGGGUAGCAGAUUGUGGUCUCCCAAGGAUGCCUUCCGUGUAGUGCAGACAAAAACGGUAAUCUUUACCUCUAAAUGUUUUCCAGUGCAUCCAUUAGCAUCACCACCUUUUUUUUUUCAUCUAAUUUCAAUUCAAAGUGACAUGUACUCAUUGGUUGGUACUUUUGUUUUAUAGGGAACCAAAGACAUAGUGGCGCUCAAUCUUGGUACACCCGACUCCAAUAAGACAUAUAGAUUUAAGCACAAGCAAUUUGUGGGCUUGGUCAACCUUAGGUUCCUUCAAUUGGACCAUGGAAACUUUGAAGGAGACUUUAAGAAUGUUUUCUUUGAUUUGAGAUGGCUCUCUUGGAGCAAUUGCCCAUCAAAAUUCCGUGCUAGCAACUUUGGGUUGAAGAAUUUAACGAUUCUCAUGCUAUCUGGGAAUAACAUUACUGAAGAUUGGGGAGGGUGGUGUCAAAUCAUGGUAUGAUCUCACGACAUCCUUUUGCAUUAUAUUUACUCUUCCUCUUUUCUAAGUGUCUACUCAAUUACUUUAUAGGUAGCAAAACAAUUGAAAAUCCUACAGCUCGAGGAUUGUCCAUUCCUUAGAAAGACACCCAAGUUCUUUGCAAUCUCGCAAUUGGAGAAAUUGAUUCUUAGAUGCCUUCGACUAAGGAAGAUUGACAAGUCCAUCGGCAAUCUAAAACAUCUUGAUUACCUAGAGAUAAAGAGUGAAGCUAUUGAGUCACUACCGGAGUCCAUCGGCGGUCUAAAAUCUUUGACAGUGCUAAGAAUAGAUUGGACACUCUCAAUGAUGCCUCACUCGAUUGGUAAUUUAGCAAAGGUGAAGUCUCUAAUCUUGUCACGUAGGGAACUUCAAAAGCUUCCCAACUCUAUCGGACAAUUGGAGUCACUACAUGAGCUAGAUGUCCAAUUUUUAAAAAUUAGUGAAUUGCCUCAUUCUAUUGGAAAUCUUGAAAGGUUGAAAGUUUUACGCAUCUCACAUUGCCCGCUAGAAAAGCUACCAGACUCAAUUGGGAGGCUCCAAUCAUUGGUCAAGUUGGAUUUGAGCAAGUCAAGAAUCAGGAUCUUAUCUGAUUGUAUUGGAUAUUUAAAAAAGUUGAAGGUACUAAAUCUUAAUGAUAGCCACAUAAGUGAAUUUCCAAAAACCAUAGGAAUGUUGGAAAAUCUAGAAGAGUUAUGUGCCUGCUCUGAACAUUUGGUGGUGGAAAUUCCAAGUGAAAUCGGGGCACUAUCCUCAUUGAAAAUUCUAGACUUAUCCCGUGGCCGCUUUAGUGGAUUGCCAACAACCAUCAAUCAGCUUACAAAUCUCCAAGAACUUAAUUUAUGGGGCUGUGAUUCGAUCCAACAGCUACCGGAGCUUCCCAAGAGCCUAAAGUCUUUAGCCCUUUCAUCGGAUUCACUGACCAUGAUCCCCAACUGUUCAAACCUAACCAAUUUAGUUGACCUUGAGAUAAACGGAAAUUCAAUGCAAGAACCCAACACAGAGGGGAUCAUGAGACUACCUGCUCUAAGACGAAUGACCCUGUUCAUUGGAAAAAUGGCCUUGCCUCCAACCGAUUUCAGUUCCCUCUCUCAACUACAACACCUCAACAUAAGUUGUGCCGAGCCCCAAUCUCUUAUCGGGCUCCCAUCCAGCCUUCGAGAGUUGAGGUUAAAGGAUGUCCAAUCACCAAUAGAUUGGUCAGUCUUUUCCAACUUGGAGAAUUUGUCAGGCUUGUCUUUUGUAUAAUUUUUGUUUCCUGCAGUUCCAUAGAUUGAAUUGGGAUUGUCUGAUGCUGCACAAUCAAAGAUCACUGUCAACUUUGCUCCACAUCUGAUGCCAAUGGUUAUAGUUGCAAUUUUCAAGCAUUCCCAUUUUUAAAGUAGAAGUUCUGCUUCUCUAUCCAUAAUUAUUAACUUUUUUCAUCUAUUUAUGUAGAGUCCUGGAAUAUAGUCAAUUAUUCCUGUUGAAAUGUCUUUGGGUGUGACGGUGAGGAUCUAUACAAGCAACUUAAAGUUGUUUGCUAGCCAAACUUUAUAAGUCCUAUUCCGCUUAGGCAUUCAAUGGCUAAAUGUAUUGAGCAUUAACCUUAGCUUUUGUUUGUUGAAAUAUUUUUCAGUAUUCAUAAUUAGCUUAAUCAAAGGACAUAAUUUAUUUCAUAGAUCUUGGUAAGUCAAUCGAGUAGUGGACAUCUUGGGGGACUAAACCUUGAAAGAUUUGCAACUUCCUCUAGUAUUCUCGAGUGUACUUCCCACAUACUUCAUGUCACGCCCCAAACCUCGGGCACGCAACAACCCCUUCCUUGGUCGAUAGAAAGUCAUGUCCUAAGACUCAUCGCCGACCCUUUCAUUUUUAAUCUUUCAUUAUGCGCAAGCGGAAAACAAACCAUCUCCCCAUCAAAAGACAAUCAAGCAAUCAAACAGGGAUAGUGAGAUGAACAGUAGAAACAUAACAUCUACUCAUAUAUAUACAUUUUUACAUUGGAUUAACCUAUGGAGGAUCGCUUCCGAUCUAUAAGUCCAUUAGAGGGGUUGAUCCAACCUCUAAGCCAUACCAAAAAGAAACUAGGCUAGGCUAAUCCAUUAUACACAAAAAUACCCCUCGGGUUCGGCCCUACAAUCACUCGGAUCCAGCGGACUCAGACUCCGUCGAUUCAAAGCUGGAGCCAUACGUGUCUGUCACUAGUGAAGCGGGGCCAGGAUUCUCCACUGCAUCGUCAAGAGGGUCUAGCUCCAUGGGAUCCCAGUCAGCGUCCUCGAGGCCCCUACCCGGUGGCCCGUCAAAACCUCUCAGAGGACUUAUCAACAAAUCGCCGUCCCUAAUGAACCACGCCAGGAACCUAUGGGGUAUCCAUUGCCCUAGUCCCUCAUCUACUCAUACAGUAGAGAGAUACUUCUCGUACAGAUGUGCCCAACCCGGGAAGCGGUGGCGCGUUAUGACAGUAUCCCAGUAGGGAUACCGAACCUCAUUGGCGGAAGUGCCAUCCUAAGGACUUGAAAGUGGUUAUCCAAUAACCAGUGAGAUAAAAUCUCAGCGAGUCCUCCCCUAAGCCCCUGAUGAGAACACUAACUCAACUUAGGGUAUCUCUCCAGAACCACCCCACAAACUUACCACGACUAACAACCAACAACCAACAAAUCACAAUAGUGACGGUCAACCACAAUCACAUAGUAAGUUCGCAUGCAACCUUACCCGGUAUGCCAUACCCUACAUGUUGAAUCUCAGCACAAUACACGCAAUACACAUGGCCAUUAAACGAUGCAGUUCAUCAAUUACAUACGAGUCGCUUCACAAGCGAUCUCACCUAGCUAUUGCCACACCCUACACGUUAUCGAUUCAUGUGUGUAUGCUAUAAAUGAUGUGCUCAACUCAUGCAUAGUCAAAACCAAUGAUGCCAUGAUUCUCAUACACUCUUGCACAUUAGUGCACCACCUAUCAUGCAUCAAUCGAUCACAUGGGUCCCAAUUAUAAGGUAAAAUUAUUAUGACCUCAUAACAAGGUCCAAUUCUCUCAACACUCACUCGUGUCCCACUUAUUAAUGACCUCAACACUCAUGCGUGCUCCAGAUAUUAAUGACCUUCCGGUCAUGGCUAACUUUCCAGUAAUCAGUCAUCCAACUCCUGCCAGGCUACCGAUAAAAAUCGAGCUUUGUCUUGGCCUGUCGGGCACGGCUACAUCGAGAACUUCCAUGCAGACGGUAUCCCAAAGAGGGACAUCGGUCUAGAAUCUAUUGCGAUCGGCUUCCAACUCCCGUUAGGUAUCGCCCCCAAACUUCCAUUGGGUGACGGUUCAAACUUAGCGAUCGUGCAAACAUACCUCCUCAAAGCCUUCUCUCAUAAAGGCAAUCCAUAUCCAAUGCCCUUGGACAAUCCAUUAUUCCCUUCUUCUUUUUUUUAUGAAAAUCCCUCAAUUCAUGCGGAUGCCCAUGCAUUUAUACACUCAAAUCACCUCAUAAGAUCAAAACGCAUGAAAUUGGACAACUUUUCAUUCUCGGGUGAACAGUGCACGUGAAUAGUGUUUUUGUGAACAACGUAUCCUGAACAGUGCUUCGUGAACAGUGUUUUGUGAACAGUGUUGUGUGAAUAGUGAAUUUCCAGAAUUAAAUAACUAAUAAAUUAAAUCUAAAAGUCAUUAAAAACACUAAUUAAAGCAAGCAAUUAAUCAAUGAUUGAUUUGCAUAAUUUAAGUCAAUGCAAAUAUGUGCCAAAAAAAUUAAAUACAAUCCCAAUGGAUUCCUUUGCCUAUUUCUUCUCCCUUCUUGUUUCCCGAUUUGAGGCGCAUGUAUGAUAAGCCAAAUUUUUAAGUGAAGUUAAUCAUCAAUACUGAUAAAAAAAAUUCACUUAUGUCUGCUUUACAUCUAUACAAUCUAAUUAUAUUAGAUUCUCAAACUCAGUGCCCACUUUGAAUAUGACAUAAUAACAUGUUCAGGACAUGAUGACAUUAUUAAAAUGUUAAAUAUGGUGUCAACUACUCUAGGAAGAGAAUUAAGAUGUAAAAUUACCCCAUUAACUAUAGAGAAUCUCAUGUUAAAAAACUUUUAGAGAAUCUCAUUUCCGUAUCUAUUCCAUCAUAUUUUAUAUUUAUUUAUUCAAAUAAUAUUGACAAUCGAAUACACCUUUUUGAAUUGUCACGCCCCGAUCCUUGAGCGUGUGCCCAUCCCUCGGUGGUCGAUUAAAAUGUGACGUCCCAAGACGCGUCACCGACCCAUUCAUUUUAAUGCACAUGCGAAGCGAAUAAAUAAAUCCCCAUACAACACAAAGAUGGGAUAGAAAAGCAGGGCCACGAUUUUAAAAACCACAACACACCUUUAUACAUAGCAGACUAGGUCAUUUAUAAUACUAGUCUAUAUUCACAAGUAUAUAAAGGCAGAAGGGCUACAAGUUCUCUAAGCGUUCGAACCCUUAGCCGAAGACUCUGGUGUCUCAUGGGGACUGGGAGGGUCAGCUGUACCCUCGCCAAAAGCGAUCUCUAACACAGACAUAGGGAUCUCAAACUCCGAUAGGGGACCUUCUCUGGGUCCAUCUCACCCGCGGUGAUACCAUGAUUUGAAUUGAUGGGGUACCCUCCGGGGUAGACUUGCAUCAACCUAGACAAUGGAUCUCAUGAGUUCAUAGACCCAGGCUCCUUGGCCACCAGGAAGAGAAAUCAGAGAGACCUGUUUGGUGACCUUCUUGGGCUAGCCAAAAUGUUCAGGAGGAACCACCAUCUAAGGACCUAAAAAUGUCAGCGCGCGAUGGGGUGAGACGAUGUUUCAGCAAGUUCACCCCCUAAAUUUCGACUAGGAAGGAAAUACGCCUAAAGGCUGCCUAUGCACACUCACAAGAUAGAAGACUUACCUCGCCUCAAUUCCAUCCUACAAGUCAGUAUAGUUCAUGAUUUCAACCAAUCCAUUCAAUUCAAAUCAAACCAUCGAUCAAUCAGUCAAUUAGCUCAAUUCAAUACCAACAAUACUAUCUAUAAGUUCAACACCAUAUAUCAAUCCUUUUGAUACCACAACUACUCAUACAAGCUGCAAUAUAUGGUUAUAGCUCACUCAAGCUGAUAUAGAUAGAUAGUAGCUCGCUCAAGCUAAUAGGUAUAUAGAUUGUGUGUGUGUGUGUGUGUGUGUAUCGUGCUCCCACAAGCUGAUUAAACCGAUCUAACCACCUCACAUGCACAAAUGAAUAUUUAAAUUGCUAAUCCGUUCUAACUUACUAUUUAAACCAUACUUAGCAUAAAAUAAUCAACCUUUAAGCAUCAUUAACUCCCUAAGCAGAGUUUAGUGAGUAAACUCACCGGUUUAGCGAUUCGGUGAGUCCACGACGACGGCAACGCGGAGACGGGCGACAAACUCCGAAGCGGCGAUACCCUACGAGGCUCGGAUGUGUCCUAAAACAGGCCUUGAAGCCCACGAAGGCUUGCUGGCCUGCGGUUAUGCUCUUGGGCCAAGAGAGAUGGCAUAGGGCUCGGCUUGGGCUGGAAACAGCCAGGCGGGCUGCUAGGCGGGUGAGCGGAGUAGGCGGAGCUGAACGGCGGUGGAUGCUAGUUCAGACGGUGGCUUAGGGCUUUGACGGUGACCUGAGGAGGCUCGGGAGGAGCGGCACGGCGACGGAAUAGGCGGGAUGACGCGGCAGUGGCGCGGGCUCACGCGGGGGUGCGACACGUGCGAGCGGAGAGUGGCAGCUGUCUGGCAAGCGUGCAAAGGCAGGAGGUGGCUGGCUCGGUUUUUCUGAAACUUUAGGAGCCCAAAAAUGGCCUAUAAUGGAGAAAGCACUCUGCUGAAGACGAAGAAGAAGAAGACAGUUGCCCAAGUGGAGGGUCCCAAGGCCAAAGUAUCAUCUAGUUUGAUCAUUAGAUGGCCCCUCACCUUGUCUGCCCCAUCCUCAGCCAAAACAUAGCCAACAAGCUUCUCUAGGAAGCCAUUAAAGUGGUCCAAAAGUCCCUCCCCCCAUGGCCUACAAAUUUGUAACAUUUUCCCCCCAGAUUGGAUUCAAUUUCUCUCCAAAUGGACUUAAACCGGUCCCAAUAAAAUCCACCAAGGUAUCCUCGACCAAAUUGACAUUUUUCCUUGCCAAUAGAACCAACUUGCAUCCCAAAAAAGCGAUAAAAAACGUUCCCCUGAAUUUUCCGGAUAAAAACGGCCCUAUUUUGAAUUUUCACCAAAAAUCUCGAUUUGUAGAAAAAUCUUCAGAGGACAAGUCGAUGUUCCUAAAAUAAAUUGUGACAUGGCAGAACUUUUAAUUUUUGAAAUCAGAUUUAAAUUCGCGAUUAAUUUCAAUCUGGUGCAACUUUAACGUGACCUAACCUACUGAGUAGCUUUUAGGAAUUUUUUGUGCAAUUGAACUGUGGUCAAUUUAUUGCAAGCCACAAUGUACAUCUUUGACACAUUGGCAACUCUCAGUUGUCGUGAAAAUCUCAGGGUUUCAAGUACGGGCACAGGGUACCAAAAUGACAGAAAAAUCGGUUUAGUGCCGAUCAACGAGAAUUUUGCAAUCAGGUGGAAUCACCCACACUUGAUCACAUAUCUCAUUCGAACCAACCUAUCUUUGAUCUCUAAUCGAUUUUUAACUGUGUCGUAAUGACUCUUGCAUACAAGCAUGGUUGAGCAGUCAGUUUCUAGUUGAAUUCUCAAAUCUAUUACGUUAAAAUCCCUUAACGGCUUCACUUGAUAAUUUAGUUAUCUCGUGAGUGAUCAGCUCAGAGAAUAGAACUAUAAGCGCGUCGAUGAAAAGCUCGAUUCAUUCAAUUGAAAAAAAAAACUUGAAAUUCAGGAUGUCACAUUAAUGGUAUCAAAGAUUCAAAGCCAUCCAUUAGAGUCAUCAUUACCUGGAUUAAGGGACAAAGUACACCCCAAGUGUCAAAACUUGGUAUGGAGGGAUAUUUAAGUGCCAAAAGUUAAGAAAGUGACACUCAAGUGCCGAAAUCGGAGCAAAAUGAAUCAUUUAAGUGUCAAUCCGGCCAAAAUGCCAAUGUGGCGAUUUUUUGACGAAGCCAAUGAAAAAUGGCGUCAUUUUGCACGUUGACGUGGCUAGAUAAUAUAAAAAUGAUAUCGUUUUGGUGCUGACGUGGUAAAAAUAAUUAAUAUAAAAAUUAAUUAAAUUAAAUUUUAAACUAAAUUUAUUUAAAAACAUUUAAAAAUAAAAUAAAAAUAUUAAAAAACUAAAAAUUAAAAAAGAAAAAAGAAAAGAGAAAAGAGAGGAAACCGGCUGAGGGCUGAGCCCUCGCUGCCGCCACCUCCCUGCUGCCGCCAAAAGGGCCGGCGGUAGAGGGGGGAGGGUCGCGGCCCUCGCCCAGCUCCGACAGGUGUCGAUGGCCCUCGCCCAGCCAGGCCAAGGGCCGCCAGUCGCUGGGGCUGCCUGCCUCUCUCUCUGUUUUUUUAUUUAAUUUUUUGUUAAUUUUUAGUUUUUUAAUAUUUUUUAUUUUUAAAAUGUUUUGAAUAAAUUUAGUUUUAAAUUAAAUUUAAUUAAUUUUUAAUUAAUUUUUUUUUACCAUGUCAGCACCAAAAUGACUUUUUUUUUGUAUUGUCUAGCUAUGUUAGCGUACAAAACGACGUCGUUUUGCAUUGGCUUCGCCGGAAAAUCGCCACGUCAGCAUUUUGCCCGAAUUUUGUCUGAAUUGGCACUUAAGUGAUUCAUUUUGCUCCGAUUUUGGCAUUUAAGAGUACUUUCCUAACUUUUGGCACUUAAGUGUCUCUUCAUGCCAAGUUUUGGCACUUGGGGUGUACUUUGUCCCAGGAUUAAGUUCUUGAUUUUGGCAAAAAAUAGUCGGUUUAACCAUGAUUGACUAAAGCUUGGCUUGGCAUUAGAAAGAAAGAAAAAUAUGCUAACAAAGAAAAGAAAGUAUAUUAAAGGAAAAAAUUAGAAACUCUUUGGUCUUACAUGGAUGCUUCUUCAAUUAUCCGACAAAUCAUUAUAAGAGGGCCAGUAACCAUUUGAUCACAAAAUAAGGGAUCUCAAUUCUUCAUUCAAAUAUUUCAAGUUGUUACAAAUUAUGACAGUUUGCAUUAGAAAUUUUAAUAAAUUUCACAUACUUACAAUGCACUACGGAUUGAAUCAAUCGAUCAAUGAAUCAUAAAAGGGAAAUACUUGCAUGUAUUAUGUCAACCCACUCAAGUCACUCAAAUGCGAUUAGUAUUUUUUUGGUUCCUAAUUAUACCCAAUAACUCACAAUAUUUAGCCCUCACAAUCUCUUGUAAAAUAAUAUAUCAAUCUCACAAAAAAAUUCACACAAGGUUGUUGGGUUUAAAACAUUUUUUGAAUGGCCUCGGAAUGUAAUUAGUCGACGAUGACCCUCUGUACAUUCAUGCCACAAGAAGUGCCACUCCCUCAAACGGCCUUUGAAGACCGAAAGAAAGCCAACAUAGAUCUUUCUAUAUAUUCAUCAAGAAACCUUGUUUUUCCCCGACUCCGACACGAAGAUGAACUUCAGCGUUUUGCAUCCUAAUUUGACCCGAGCUGUCCAAGUUAACAACGAGUCCAAUUCGGAUUUUCCUCAUUGUUGCAACAUCCAGGUCUUCGAACAUUCCAGGACCUGCAUAAUAAUGACAGGAUCGAUGCAAAUGUAGUAUCUCACUCAUAAUGCAAGGACGUGCGAUCAUCAAUUUUCAUAUCUCAAAUCAACAUUAAAAAAUUCAAUAAAUGACAUUCGCUGCAUGAAUGCCAACUAUAUUUCAAAAAAACGAAGUUGGUUUCAUCGAAAAAUAAAUUAUCAUCAAACAAAUAUAACAUCAUUGGAUAGCUUCAACAAAGCCGUGAAUGAUGCACAUUUUGCUAGAUUGGAUUGGAAUCUCAAUUUAUAGACAAAGGAUUCCGAUGAUAUAAAUGAGGAGGGUAAUACUUCAAAUGAUAAUGUAAUAUUUGAUAUGACACAUUUACGUAAUCAAAUAACUAUGAAUUUAGGAAAAAGUUAAGAAUGUUUCUAAUUUUUAAGGAUAAUGAAUUUUUUUCCUCGAAGCAUAUAUUACUAUGUUUAUUGUAAUAAAAGUAUUCUCCUCAAAAUUGAGAAAGAGAGUAUGUGAAUUUUUUUCAUUUGAUAUUUUUUAGCAAAAGAAGAAAUUUUAAUUUUAAUAAAAUUGUUUAUACAACAUCUUUAACAUUGUUGUCAAAUAUAAAUUUAAAAGGUCACAAACAUUAUUUUUUUUUUAACUUUAAACAAAUAAAAAUUGAAAAGCUUAGAUUAAUCAUCAAAUGGGCUUUUCAAAUGCGGCUUAUACCAAAUAGAAUUUCUCUCAAAGUUACUUCUCAAAGUAGAAUUUACCAAACAGUCGUUUCAUUUCCCCCAAAGCCCUUUACACUAAACUAUUUUGUAUUUCCCCAAUGACCUUUCAAAAUGCUUAAUCAAACGCACCAUAAGACUUAUCUUUGGGUAUCAUUUACCAUAACCUUUCUAAGGCAUCCUCAUCCUCUUUUUUUUUUUUUUUUUCCGUUCACUAAUUAGGAAGAUAUUGGGUGGAUUCAAUUAAUUAUAUUAAUAUGAUUCCAUAUAAUUAGUCAGUAAAAGUGGCAACCAUUAGGCAACGUUGAAGUUUUGCUGAGUGUAUGCUUUAAUUCCCUUGUGCGGCUUCCUUUGGCCAGUGAUAUGUACUUAGAUGCUAUUGCUCAUAUGAUAGAAGGAUUCACUGGAGGGGAUCUUCAAGCUCUUCUUUUAGAUGCACAGCCUCAAGCUGUUCACGAUCUUAUCGACAGUAGUGAAGGCAAUCAGCAUGGGAAAAAACCAAUUAUAACCGACUCUCUUCUAAAGUCCGUUGCUUUAAAGGCAAGGCUGUCAGUCUCAAAUGCCGAGAAGAGAAGACUUCAUAGAAAUUCUUUUCAUUCGUCGAAUUCUAUCAUCUAUCCCCACAACAAGAAUUGUGCAUCUCCAAUCAGAAUUUCAACUGCAGAUUAUGAUAGUGGCUUAUUAUGCAUCUGUUGGAGUUAAUCCCGGCAAUAAUCUCAUUCUCGUAUAGGAACACGACAUCUAUGGAACAAUUCAUUAGGUGAAUUUGCAACUUCCAAUCACAAAUUUUGAGUAGUCGCGACAUUUUGGCAGGAGCUGCUAUUUUCACAACUUUUUUGGUUUAGAGCACCUUAUUCAAAGUGAUGAGACAAAUUGUGGGCUAAAGAUUUGGCUAUGAAGGACAAUGGAAAAUUAUGAGCCUGAGUAAUUCCGAUGAAAUCGUUAGCACUAUGUUGUGUAAGAGUUUUCUUUAUGUGGGCUACAUUAAUUGAAAUUGUAAUUACCGUUUUACAGCGUUAGUCUAAUAAGGUAAGGCAUAAGGUUUUUUUAAUGGUCGAAUAUGGGCCUAGCAUUGUGUGGGCUCAGUUGGGCCCUACCCGGCCCGUGAUGAGAGGGCCCAUCCAAAACUCUAUAAAUAGCGCUAAGGUCCCUCCUCUAGCCCUCACUCUUCCAAAAUUUUCUCUCAACUCACAUAAGGUAAUCAGUGAGUGGCGGUCUCAUCAAGCCAGGAACCAAGGGUCAUAGAGGAGAAGGUCUUAAGCAUUGAAGGCUCGGAUUGUUGUCAUUUUGCUCCAAGAAUGAUGAAUUCAAAAUUAGGUACACAAAUCCUCGUCUUCAACCUUAGGAUGUUCGAUUUUCUAGCUAUGUUGAUCUUGAAAGCCGUUUAGACGGCCUACAUUUGGUAUCAGAGCCUGCAUAAACUAGAAUUCGAACAUAGGGAGCUGUUUUGAAGAAUUUAUCCGCAUGAAACUGGAUUUUGAAUGUAUAAUUGGAUUAAUCUUGUCGAGCUGAGUGUUUUUGUGGGUAGCAUGUCUCCGACGGUUGCCAAAUUUGAUGUCCAUACCCAUUUUGGACUUCACUCAAGAUCGAAGUGUUUUUGCUUGUUUUUUGUGAUUUUGGUCCGAUGAAAGUGAAUUUUUAUUACACAUAUGAAUUCUCCUCAUCAAUAUGAGCAUUUUAGUGGGUAGAACGCCUCUAGACGAUGCCGGAAACGGCCGCACGCGCCUCCACGCACUGAGAUGGAGCUCGGAAGAGGUCCCACGCGCCGCCCCAUGCGCCCGUACGCGCACGCAGGCGUGCUAACACGUGGACUGACACGCGGCUUCGUGCGCGCGGACUGCCUCAAAGGUUUCCCACCACCAACACAUGUCAGUGAUGACGCCACAUAAGCCGCCUUACAUGCGACCGCCACGUGGCAUGUGACGUCACCGAUGAGUCACCACAGACCCGACCGGUUGUUGACCGGGUCAACUCGACCUGAGUUGACCGGGUCGACCCGACCCUGGUGGACCCGGUUGACCUGACUUGGUUGACCGUUGACUGGGUUGACCCGACCCGGUUGAUCGUUGACCGGGGUUGACCCAACCCUGUUGACCGUUGACCGGUUCGACCCGUUGAGCGAUUGGACUGGUUGACCGUUGACCGAUUGACCGGUUGACCGUUGACCGUUGACCGGUUGGAUUGGUAAACCGGCUUUCGGACCGGAUCGGUACGCCAACGCGUGCCGCACACUCUAGCGGCGCCUGAGGGCGCGUGUGACCUCCAUUGGGCGCGUGGUUGAUACCAGCAUGCUCGUAUGUGAAUUUCCUAUCUUGUGGUGUACUUAUUUGUAUUUUUUUUAAUGCCUUUAAGGAUAUGAAAAUGCAUGUGAAACCUGAAGGUACGUGAUUUUGGGGUAAUUUUGGCGUAUUUUCAUAUAUUUCUCUAUGGUUUUGGAAAUACAAAUACAUGUCUAUGAUUAUAUCAUCACUUGAGGAAUAUGUGUAGUGUUGAUUUAUUAGUAGUAUGUAUCGGUGGAUGGAGCAAUGCAAUUAGCAUGACUUGUGAUUUUAGUGACAAAUAGCCCCUGUCAUCAAGUCUAAAAUCACAUGUGAAAGGUAAAUGUGAGUCAUAAAGUUAUAUCCCAAAUAUGAGAGAAUUUCGAUAAUUCAGUUGGGUUGUGACCGCCAAAGUGGCACACUUGAUUGGAUUUGAGAAACAUCGGUCUCAUAUUGUAAAGGGAUGUCUCCUAUUCUGAUGCAUGUUUAUACUCCCAAAGGAGGUAAUUGUGCGUUAGUUUAUGGAGGAGAUACAUGUACAUCAUAUGGUUGAAAAGUGACUAACUCUAGUAAUUCAUACACCCAAAGGUGGUGAAUUCGCGAAAGGUUAUAAUACUUUUUCAUAGACCGCUAUCAUGUGAAGAGUAUACAACUGCAUGUCAUGUAUUCUGCCCAAAGGUGUUUGUAUGAUGAUGUAUGUAGCUCUUGAGAUGUAUGUUUGACACUCACAGGAUGCUAAUUAUAUGUAUUGCUUGUAUAAUCAGUCACCUUCUCUAUAAAUGGCAAUUCUAUUGCAAUUGAGGUUCUCUUUGGAUCAAAAUUUAAGAAAUGGAAAGAUGAUUUUCUGUUUGGGAUGGAGUUGGCAGAUGUUCAAAUUGCUCUUGCUAAGGAUAGGCCGGCAGACCUUACUGAUGCUAGUACAAAAGUCUAGAAAGUGCGUUUUGCUGCAUGAGAAAAAAGUAAUAGAAAAAGUAAAGAAUUUGCUUGCUUAUUAUGAAAUAGUCAAUUCAUGAACAUUUGAUGAGUGGCAUGCCAACUGACUAUACUGUUAAGGAAAUGAUGAAAGCUUUGGAGGCUAGGUAUCAUGUCUCUUCCAAUGGUGAGAUAGGUACACUUAUGCACUCUUUAAUAUGAAGUAUGAUGGUUCGACUGGAGUUAGAGAUUAUGUGCUUAGGAUGGUAGAUCUUCAGACAAAACUCCGAAUUCUUCAGGUUGAUAUCCCUGAAGCUUGUAUUGUGCAUCAAGCAUUAAAUACUCUUCCUCCUGACUUUGGAAUUAUCAAGAUGAACUAUAGUUCGCAAAAUGAGACUUGAUCAAUCAAUGACCUUAUAGUUAGAGUGCUGGCAGAGGAAGAGAAACUGAAGAAAGAAAGAGGGCAUCUUACCUUGUAUGCCUCUAGUUCUGCUAGCAGGAAGGGUAAAUGGAUUGCACAUCUGAGAGGAAAUCCUAAAGUCAUAGGGACUUCUAACUAUAUAGCUCCUAAGAGGGGAAAUCUUGAAGCUGCUGGCCCCUCCACCACUAUGGCUCCUAGAAAGGCACCUUUUAAGAGGGAGGGUGUCCUUUGCUACUUUUGUAGGAAGAGGGGACACAUAAAGAAAUACUAUGAUAACUAUAAAGCUUGGCUAUCUAAAAAUGAGCAUAAAGGGAUUCACAAACAUAAGGACGCCAAAUCAGGAUGAAUCAAAGCUCACUGUGGGAAAUAACGACAAGAUCGACGUUGAGUUCGUGGGAGAUGUCAUUUUGAUUUUAGAUACUAGUUUUAAUAUGAUAUUAAGAAACACUUUCUAUGUACCUUCCUUUAGACGAAACUUAGUUUUCGUAUCAUGUUUGGACAUGUGUGGUUACUCUUUUGAAAUAAAGAACAAUAUAAUAUCUAUGUUCUUUAGUUCAAAUAAGGUUGGAUGCUGCAACAUGUUCAAUGGAUUGUACAGAUUGUGUUUAUCUCCCAAUGAUAUAUACAUCGCUAAUACAGUUGAAAGUGUCGUUCCCAAAAGACCUCUACCUAAGGAACAGUCUUAUGCGUUAUGGCAUAAACGACUAGGUCAUAUAUCCAAAGAAAGAGUAGAAAGGCUGAUAAAGAAACACAUCCUACCUACUCUUAAAGGUGACCUAGAGACUUGCGUAGACUGUUGUAGAGAAAAGAUGACUAAGAUAAAUAAGAAAACUACAGUUCGAAGUUCUGACUUACUAGAAGUCAUUCACACCGAUAUCAAUGGACCCUAUACUGCAACUUUGUGUAUAAAUUUUUAUUUCAUCACAUUUAUCGAUGAUUAUUCUCGGUAUGGUUACCUAUUCCUGAUUAAGGAAAAAUCUAAAUCUCUUGACAAAUUCAAGAUUUUUCGGAUUGAAGUUGAGAAACAAUUAGGAAAUGUAAUAAAUGUGGUUAGAUCUGAUCGAGGUGGAGAAUAUUAUGGUAGACAUGGCAAUGUUGGGCAAAUUAAAUGGCUGUUUGCUAAAUACUUAGAGGAUUCUGGGAUAAUGGCUCAGUUCACAAUGCUUGGAAGUCCUGAACAGAAUGGUGUGGCUGAAAGACGCAAUCGUACUCUCAUGGAUAUGGUAAGGUGUAUGAUGAGUAGGACUAAUUUGCCUGACUUUUUAUGGGGUGAGGCUUUAAAAAUAGCCCUUUAUAUAUUGAAUCAUGUUCCUAUCAAACCUGUUAUAUCGACUCCUUUUGAGUUAUGGACUGGACGCAAACCAAGUUUGAAUCAUUUCAAGGUCUGGGGAUGUUCUGCAAAAGUAAGAUUGAAUAAUCCAACAUUAGGUAAGUUGGAGGCUUAAACCACUCGAUGCUACUUUGUAUCUUACUCAGAAUAUUCGAAGGGAUAUCGGUUUUAUAAUCCAAGUGGAGGAACAAGGAUUGUAGAAUCACAAACGGCCAAGUUUUUGGAAUUUGAUGUAGCCGAAAAGCAUGAUUGCUCACAAAUUAGUGAACAUGACAACAUGAUGAGACCUGUUAUGUCUUUCUCCUUACCUAUGCAGAUGAUUAUGGAGCCUAUUGUGCCAUAAACUGAACCUGUUAAUAUUGAGAAUCCUAUUGAUGAAAUGGCCAUAGAUGAAGUUCUUCAAGUUCCUCAGACUCAAAAUGAAGUUACAGUGGCUCCACUUAGGAGGCCUACUAGGGAAAGGCAUUCAGCUAUACCACCGGACUAUAUAGUCUAUUUAGGAGAACAUGAUUACGAUAUACGCUGCAUUAUAGAUCCAGUGACUUAUAUAGACGCCAUUUCUUGUCCUCAAUCAAGUUUGUGGUUGGAUGCAAUAAGAGAUGAGAUGCAGUCUAUGAAAUAUAAUGGCGUGUGGGAGCUUGUUGAAUUACCGGAAGGUUGUAAACCUAUAGGUUGCAAGUGGGUUUAUAAGACUAAAAGAGAUUCAAAAGGAAAGAUUGAGAAAUUUAAAGCUAGACUUGUGACCAAGGGCUUCACUCAAAGAGAAGUGAUAGACUAUGAAGCAACUUUUUCUCCAGUUUCUUCUAAAGACGUUUUUAGAGUGAUCAUGGCGUUAAUAGCUCAUUUUGACAUGGAAUUACAUCAGAUGGACGUUAAAACUGCUUUUCUAAAUGGAGACCUUGAUGAGGAGGUUUAUAUGGUGCAACCUGAAGGUUUUGCAGCAAAUGAUUCAUGUAAGUUUGUAUGUAAACUAAAGAAGGCUAUUUACGGUCUCAAACAAGCUUCCAAACAAUGGUACUUGAAGUUUCACAAUGUUAUUACUUCUUUUGGUUUUGUUGAGAACAAAGUAGAUCAGUGCAUAUACUACAAGGUCAAUGGGAGGAAAUUUAUUUUUCUUAUACUUUAUGUGGAUGAUAUUUUGCUUGCAAGUAGCGAUGUUGGAUUGCUGCAUGAAACAAAACAAAUGUUGUUAAAGAAUUUUGACAUUAAAGACCUAGGUGAGGCAUCCUUCGUUCUUGGUAUUGAAAUCCAUAGGGAUCGUUGUCAUCGUAUGUUAGGUUUAUCUCAAAAGGCAUAUUUUGAUUGUAUUUUGGAGAGAUUCAACAUGUAGGAUUGCAAACCAGGAACUGUUCCUGUCAUUAAGGGUGACAAGUUGAGUCUCUCACAAUGUCCUCAAUUAGAUUUUGAGAAAAACCAAAUGAAGGAUGUGCCUUAUGCUAAUGCACUUGGAAGUAUCGUGUAUGCUCAAGUUUGCACCAAACCAAACAUCGCUUUUGUAACAGGGCUUUUAGGUAGAUAUUAGUCAAAUCCAAGACACGAUCACUGGGUUGCUGCCAAAAAGGUCUUGAGAUACUUGAAAAGAACAAGAGAUUAUAUGUUGAUUUAUAGAUAUGUCCAUGAUUUGCAAUUGUUGGCAUAUUCAGAUGCAGAUUUUGUUGGUUGUGAGGAUGAUAGGAAAUCGACAACAAGAUAUAUAUUCAUGUUGGCAGGAGGCGCAAUAUCAUGGAAAAGUGAGAAAUAGAAAUCUAUAUCUUCCUCUACCAUGCAAGCGGAGUUUAUAGCAUGUUUUUCAACUUCUACUCAAGCAAUUUGGCUUUGGAACCUCAUUAAGGAAUUGGUCGUAUUUGGUUUUGUGGAUAGACCCAUACAGUUAUAUUGUGAUAACAAUUUUGCUGUGUUGUUUGUCAAUAACAACAGAAGUCUCAAAGGGUCUAAGCAUAUGGAGGUCAAGUUUUUUACCAUAAAGGAAAUGGUACAUAAUGGUGAUAUUAUAGUAGAGCAUGUUCUCACAGACGAUAUGUUGGCAGAUCCGCUGACUAAAGGCCUACGCCCUUGUGUAUUUGAGCGACAUAUCAUGAACAUGGGCUUGGGAGAAUUGGUGGAUACUAUCGUUUAAUGGGAACUAUUUCAGGUUUGCCCUAAUGAAGUUUACUUCUGUAUUUUGUUACUUUUUGUAACGUUUCGAUAUAUGUCAACUCCUUCUGUAUAAAUUGUUAUUGAGUUGUGUACAUAUAUCUAAGGAAAAUCUCAAGGUACUGUGUAAAUCUUGAGUAAAGGCUAGGGGCAUCCAAUUAUUAGCCUUAUACAUAUGUCUCAGUUAUACAUAAAGAAAGGUAAAUCAUAAAGAGAAGACAUACGUGGGUUCAUUAGAACCAUAAAGACAUUCUCUAGUGCCACAUCCGGUUUUCUAUGACACUUAAAGGUAAGAGAAUAGCGACCGACAAGGGAGAUAACACAUAAGGUAAAACUCUUUAUGAAGUGUUAUCCAUUUGCCACACAACCAUAUUGAAUCCAUAUCAGUAAAGUUGAAAGCAUUCGUGACCAUGGAAGGCUCUGUAUGAAUACAUGCAGUUACCGCAAUGAUUCGUUGUUUGAGACUUUAUGGGAUAGGAUUGACUAUUAAGAAUUGCCACUAGACCAACAUAAAGGUGGGCACAUAAAGUACAGUCUCAAUUAAUAUAGCCCAAGUGGGAGAAUAUAUGAGUUUUCUUUAUGUGGGCUACAUUAAUUGAGAUUAUAAUUACCGUUUUAUGGCGUUGGUCUAAUAAGGUAAGGCAUAAGGUUUUCUUCAUGGUCAAAUAUGGGCCUGGCAUUGUGUGGGCCGAGUUGGGCCCGGCCCGUGAUGAGAAGGCCCGUCCAAAACUCUAUAAAUAGCGCUAAUGUCCCUCCUCUAGCCCUCAUUCUUUCAAAAUUCUCUCUCAACACACAUAAGGUAAUCUGUGAGUGGCAAUCUCAUCGAGCUAGGAACCGAGGGUCAUAGAGGAGAAGAUCUUCAGCAUUAAAGGCUCAGAUUGUUGUCAUUUUGCUCCAAGAAUGAUGAAUUCAAAAUCAGGUACACAAAUCCUUGUCUUCAACCUUAGGAUGUUCGAUUUUCUAGCUAUGUUGAUAUUGGAAGCUGUUUAGACGGCCUACAUGUUGUUCACGAUAUUUGUUGUCAUUUUGUCAUUGUAUAAAAGGGUUUGAUGACGGCACAAUUCAUCAGUAUAGUCAUAGUGAUUCUUGUUUGUGAAUAUGUUUUUUUCUUUUGCUCUUGGCUUGAAAGAUUCUAUUUGGAACUAUUGUCUAAUCGGUGUAAUUCAAAUAAAUCAUGAAUACAUCAAGGCACGAGAUCGUAGGUGAUCGGCCUAAAAAUGAGGAAAUAUGGCAUGGAGAGACCACUCGCGAGCUCCCUUAUCACAAAUGAAUCUUUUUACCUCUAAGAAAUGGCAUUUACCAUGUAGAAGAUAUUUGUUCCAAUCAUAAGAUCUUUUUACUACAAGAAUGAGUAACCUAUGUAUCAAGUGAAAAAAUUAGACGGUUGAGAUUGCAUUUCUACGUUUCUUCAUGUAUGAUAGUGAGAGAUCUAAUCUCAUGGGGAGGUGAGUUCACUGGAAAAAGCUAUCUCAGAUGUGUCAUCUAAUGUUUCGAUUGUAGGAUAUAAUAAGAUAGGAAUGGAAUAGUUAUUCCAUAAAAUUGGAAGAGAGUAGGACUAGGAAUGGAAUAGCUAAUUUGUAGUUUGGUCUGUAGAGUGGAUUCAAAACUAUUCUCUUGUUUGUUUUACCAUGAUAGUAGGGAGAAUAGGUCAAGAAUAGUAGAGAAUACCCAUAAUACCCUUUGAUGAUAUAUAAUCAAAGUCUAAUUUCUUUUAUUAUCAUAUUUUGAUAGGACAUAAAUUAAAACCUACUAUAAUUUCUAAAUAAUUGCAAUAUUUGAACAAAAGCUAAUCUCCAAAACAAAGGUUGUUGCGACCUUCCCUUGAUAGGCGGUUAGUGGAUUACUAAGCUCGAAAACUUAAUGCUCACUCUCCAAGACUCUAUCUAGCGCAACUUUGGAGGUUAAUUAUUUUAAUAUGCAAAAUCUUAUUUAUUCAGGAGUCACCACUUAUCAGUUAUUAGUAGGCUGAUUAGAAAAGCUAAUGUUUUUUUAAUAUGAUGAGCAAAACAGAAGCAUUUAAUAAAUGAUAUUUUCAGCCUAAAGAUAAAGGAAGAGAUUUCUCACAAAAACAAAAAACAAAACAAAAAAAAAAAGAUAAAAGGGGAUCAUUAUGCUUUGGUCACGCCAGAUGUUGGGCAAUUUUCUACGAGAUAUUGCACUGAACCUUGAUCUAUAUAUAAAAGGACAUAGAGAAAUUGAAUGCUUUUCCUAGAACUAUACGUGGAGAUUCCGGAUACUUUGAAAAUAGAAUAAUUAGAUCAAAAUGCAUGAAAAAGUUUCAAAGCACCAACGGUAAAACUUUUUGUAUCAUGAAAUGGCCCAAAGAUACGACUGUCUAUGUCUUGACAUAAUUUUAGGAUGCGACUCUAAAUAAGAUUUUCACUGCAUAUGUACACAUCUCCUAAUUCUAGGAGGGUAACAUAUAUAUCAGAAAGCGAAAUGAACCUAGUAUAUUUUAAACUAAACAGAAUAUCACCUAAAAACACAACACAAGUGAAAAGACAAGGUCAAAGAGGAAAAGUUGCAUAUAAAUAUGGAUGGCCCUAAUUAGAUCUAUAGCACUGCUGAUGGUAAAUAUAGUCGAACCGAAAAUUUCAUAUAGGCUUAGCCUUUCAGUUUCUUUUAGCACGUUAACUCUUUCUUUCAUUUUUUUUCCUUCCCUUUACAAGAGGCAUGGAAUUUGAUUCAUAUCUUCCAAUCAGAGAUGAUUAUGCUAGUUAUUACAUGAGCCCCAUAAUGGAAUUGAUCCAUUUUAAGGAAUAGCUACCUCAUAAUUCAUACGGGUCGUCAUAAAAAUAGGAUCUACGUGCUUUGAUAUGAUUAUAUACUCAUUUUGUAACUCCUGAAAAGUUAAUCGCUUUGCAAAAUUAGUAUGAAAAUUGUGGAUUUUCGUAGUGCGCGCAUCUUCAAGGAGCAAAAAUAGGCCAAGUAAUUAGGAAGUUUGUCCCAUCUGUGCACGCUCACUGCAAAAGCCUACAUUUAUUUCCACGAAGGGUGGGAAACCCAAUUGAAAUCGAGUCUGCUUGGGCUUUUACCAUGGAAUUUCAUAUUUCUAAGUGGAAACGCACUAGAAAAGCAUCUCGUUUGGAUCCCUAGCUCCACCCAAUGAUUGAAUUUCGUAAUUUGGAUUAAAUACAACUCUCUAGUCAGAAAAGUUAAAAUGCAGAUGUUGUCCGAUCUAUACCUAUACAAUCCCAUAAUGUUGGAUUUCAAACACGGUGCCCACCUUAGCAAUGACAUUGCUCAUGACAAAUAACAUCAUAAAUUUUGUGUGUCAGUGAAGAUAAAAAUGUGUGUUGCACGAAUUUAGAGUGCAAGAUCAAAAUCUUGAGUAUAUCUAGUAAAUUUAGACAGUUUAUAAAAAGAAUUCAAAAAUUUUAAUGGAGCAUUUCAUUUAAAUAUAAUACCUCUCUCGAAUUUAAUUCUUCUUAUGUCUGAUCACAAAAAUGUCCACUUCUACCAUGUAAUGUGGUUUGGAGUCAAAAGCACAGCUCAUUAUCAAAUGAAGCCCAGUCCGCAAUCACACGGUAUUGUUUACUUAUUGACGGAAUUCUCAGUUCAAUUGGCUUGAGAAUCAAGAGACAAGAUAUGAACAGAUAUACAGUGGACAUGCUCUUUCUUCUUUCAGACAGGUCAUGACAACAUCUUGCCGCAUUAUUUUUGAAGCAUCAACUCUAAAAUUAAGCUUUCAUAAGUCGUGUUGAAUACCCAAAACUAGUAUCCUCAUAAUAGGCUCGUGAAACUCGCACCGAAAGAUGAGUGUGAUUUAUUGCAACAUCCUCUCACAAUCAUGUGAUAACUACAUGUAGGGGAUGUAAUUCAGCAUAAGAAUGAAAUAGUUACUAGUCUUCGCUAGUAUAGAAUGUUAUCUGCACAUGCAUGGCUAUGUAACAAUAUGCAACUCGAUCCCUUCGAGAUAGACUUUAAGUUAACGAUCCAAUAAAAUGUCAGUUGAAUGGCAAUCUGCAAUGGCCACAACUAAAAGGACUCGCCGAUGGAGAAGAAAUGAAAUGGAACAUCAAUUGCUCUAUCAUUCCACGGUUUUCUCAAGUAUACCCGAAAAUGAAUACUAUUCUAAGUUAGGAAUAAGAUGAAUUCGUGAUACUGGUUUUAUCAGGGUAUACCUAAUAUCUUGGACUAUUAAAAAGGAAAAUUUAUGUCAGAUCUCGACAAAAUGCCAGAAGACUCCAAGUAAAAGAAAAGAGGAGAUUAUACUUCUAGAAAUGCACUGAUUACAAGCAAACCCAGUCACAAAAAUUGGAGAGAAAAAAGUUGCAUCACGGCAUUUCAACUUGAGAUAAAAAGGUCACAAACCUGAGGAGGGUGGAUGAUAGGAGAUGGAAUCAUCAUUCAUUUGCCUUCUUUACAAGACUAUUGAUUUCUUUCUUGAUAUCAGUAAAAUUCAUCUUAUCAGCAUUUCGAAUUUACUGGAACAACCAGACCCCACGUGAAAGAAAACGAAUUAACUUAAACCACAGUCUCAUUAGAGUCUAUGUAACUGAUGAUCAAAAGACAAAUCCCUAUACCUGCGUCGCUUAGAGAGAAAUAUCAUGGCAAGGAGCGGAAAAUUCUGUAGCUAUUCAGUCAUUUUCUGGAGACGAAGGGCGGAAAUAGGGCAAUCACGCCCGUCGAUCGUCAAAUAUCUCGACCAGUAGUGUUUAUGUUUAAGGGGGGAAAAAGGACUGUUGAUGCUAGAAAAUCGCGACAUUAGCUCAUCACUUUUCACAUUUAAUGUCCUUGGAAUGAUGGAGGCAUCUAAAAUCAAAGAACGAGAAUCGUCGGUCUAAAUCCUUGGUCAUCAUCCUGGUGAUUUUCUAUAGCUUAGGAAGAACGCUGGCGGAAAUCAUAAUAUGUUUAAGAAACAUUGAUUAGAGUGUGUAAGACAGGUUUGAACCAGGUGCUUGUGCUCCAUAUUAGUCAGUGCUAAGCAAAUGAAAGGAACCUCUUCCAUCUUGGUGAGAGCAAGGGUGAAUCACUACUUGUCAAAGCAUGAAGAUCUACGUUCUUUAGCCCAUGUACAUAAGAAAGAAUAAAUAAAAGGGAAAAAUCUACAAAAAUCCCAAACUUCACCCGUGUGUUGCAUUUACCCAAACUUUUUGUGUAACUCCAAAAAUCUUAUUCUUAUAUUUAUGUGACAUAUUUACCCUAAUUUUUUUUUUUUUUUGUGAUACCAAAAUCCCCAAACUUUUUUCUGUGAUACCAAAUUUUAAGGAUGAAUGUGUCAUACAAAUACAAAUUUAUAAUUUUUUUUAUAUCGUAAGAAGAAGUUUGGGAUAUUUGUCUCACUAUAUAAAUUUGGGAUAAAUGUGUCACAUAUAUACAAUUUUGGGAUUCUUAGUGUUAAAAAAAAGUUUGGGAUAUAUGUGUCAUAAUGAACAUAAUUUAUGAUUUUUGGUGGUUUUUUUUUUAAUAUAAAAAAACUAGAACUUAAUAGUGGGCAACAUAUGCAAUGUGAUUGCAAGCAUGGAAUAGAGACUCGAUGCUAGAUGCUUUUUGGUCAUAAGGAUCAACCGUCCAAAAUUGACUUACUCUAAAGGGUUUUCCUUUCAAUCUUAGAUGUCACAUAGGAAUUUUUACUGACUUAUUCUAGAGGUUUUCCUUUCAAUCUUGGAUGUCACGUAGGAAUUUUUACACUAGGAAGAGGCUGAGAUGGUCUCAAGGUUUAACUCAACCAUCGAGGUUGAAUUAAAACAUCCUUUGAAGAUAUGGUACUGGAAAAAGAAAUCCGCAUAUUCUAAAAUGAAAAGUAGAAUCCAAUUUGUAUAGGAAGUAGCAAUAUUCAAAUUUAUUUUUCACAUUUUUAUCAUGCCUUCGUAAUUUUCAUGUUUGAUUUGACAAAUGGUUUUACUUGGUAAUUUUAUACCUAAUGGAUAACAAACGGAGUAUUAUAAACAAUCCCAAAUUAAUGACAUUAAUAAAUAUAAAAAUGAAAACAAACCUAAUUAAAGUACAUUUAUCAAUAUAUGUCCACGUAAAGCUUGGGCAAAAGUAGUUUGAGUGCGAUUUAGCUGACCGAUACUCCAAUUUUGAGAGAGUGAUUAAGAAAAGAUAAAAAUUAGAAAAAGAAGAAAUUGGGUAAAAGAUGGAAAUCGGUCAAAAAAGUCAACCAGUUUCCAUCUUAGAUGUGCGGUCCUUAACUAACUGUCACUCCGUCGUUGACAAAGUGACCUUAGCUUUUCCUUUUAGUUUUAAUUCUUUCUUAUCGCAAAGCACUUCAAACGCGCGACUCCGGUAAUCUCUUUUUUCCCCCACGGUGCGGUUAGCCGUCCUAAAUGACCAAACCCGCCCUCUCUUCUCGACGAAUUUCCCUCCCUCAAAAAAAAAAAAAAUACCCGGACUCUGAAAAAUCCGGUACUCUUCCCUCGGUCUCUCCCCUCCACCAAUCGGUCAACGCAAGCCUCUGCCACCCCGCCGCUGCGUCGCCAUCGCCGACGACGUCGUAUCAAGUUGUUACAAGGAUCAAACUCAAGACUUCCCAAGUCACUGGGCAGACUCAAUUCGGGAUCCAUCUCUGCGUCGUCCUUCCAGAAUGAAGAGAAAGAGGGAGGAAAAAGAGACGGCGACGGCAGCUGGGACAGGCAGCAGCCGUGAUGGCGGACUGCGUGGAUCCGGUGAUGGNNNNNNNNNNNNNNNNNNNNNNNNNNNNNNNNNNNNNNNNNNNNNNNNNNNNNNNNNNNNNNNNNNNNNNNNNNNNNNNNNNNNNNNNNNNNNNNNNNNNCUGAGUUUAGGGCUCUAGCUUCCGCUAGGCGCGUCCGGUUGUUUCGGUGAGUAGCAUUCUCCUAAAAAAGGAUGAGGAAUUGGCUUACUGUUGCAAUUAUUGUGAUCUAAUCUACGAUAAACAUUAAAACAAAUCCAGGUGGUUAGCACCUCUUUUACUUCUCACAAUGAAUUUCUCUUUACAUUGACUUGAUAGAUCCGAGUGCACUUGGUUCUUUGUUCCCGCUAUAACCAUUGGUGAACUGGGAACUUGAUCACUUUGUUAGUAUGUUAUUGUUACUUUGCCAGCAUGAUACUUUUCCAUUUGCUUUUUACUGGGUUGUUGAUUCAAUGUCUAUAUUGAACGCCAGGUAAAAAUUCCUGAUUUUGAGAAGUGUUUAGACAUAGUCGCCACUCUACAGGCCAAGAAGGGUUCUGGUGAGGUUUUUUUGUCUCGUGCAACUUGUACUUCUGACUAUGUGAACUAGAUAUUGCGGCAAUUUCCAUUUAUCUUCCACUAGUUGAAAGGGAGGCGGUGGUUAAUUGCUUUUUAACAACAAGCUGUGGAUUUCGGUAAUUUAGUUGAGGGGUACGCAAUUGAUUGACAACCUUGUGUUGAAAUUGCAAGGCUUUGAAUCUUGAAAUGAUUGCGGUUACUUACCUCUGAGCAAAUUAGGUCAAGAUGUUCACAUGUAAUUAGAAUGAGAAAGAGAUUUUCCUUCUAAAAUGCUCCCUUGGCCCAUUUAUGGAAAUGAAAAAUGUCGAUGCUCAUCACUAAAUAGUAAGCCUUGUUUAUGCUCUCCACGUUAGGAAUAUUUCUCAUUUAAAGGUACAGUUACAUGCUGAUUAGGUGUUGCAUCUUGCUUGUUAUACCUUGUGAAUCUUCCUAAUACUUUAUCCCAUCAAAUGGUUUGUCAUUGAAAAACGUGUGUAUCAUCUCCCAUGUUUAGCGGUCAUGCAUUAGAGGCUUUCAAUUGCUUAUCAUAAAGUGAGUAAGAAUUAUCUGCAUUUAGGUUCUAUUUAGAAAAGGAAAUCACUUCAGCGGAUCUUUCUUGUCCUUUGAGAAAGCGCAAGAGUAUAGGAAGAGAUAUUGUUUUGCUUGUUAUUCUAAUUCAGAGCCUGGUUAAUGUUAUUGCCGAAAUCUGAAAAAGAAAGGUGGAGAUGUAUCUAAUUCAGGAGUUCUUUUCUUUUUUCCUUUUUUAAAAAAAAAAAUGUUUCUCAUCAGUUAUUCAUUUUGUGGUUGAACUUUUGAGGGAGCGCAGAGCUGGUAUCAGUAUCUUGUGUAUAGAAUGAAAUAAACAAUUCAUUUGUUUUAUGUGUCCCUUCAUUUAAAUAGCAGAAUGCUUUCUUGCUGAUUGAAUAUUCUUCAGAAAGCAAUAGCUUUAUCGAGCAAACCUUUUGACAGACUUAUUUACAUGAGAGUGAAUCUAACAAACUUGGGGUAAGAAGUUAGUCUUAGAAAUUGUUAACCAUAUGUGAAGUCUACAGCCAUCCUUUUCCUUAAUGCAAGAUUUAAAGGCUCUCUUAUUUCUAUCUCUAGACUAACAAAAAGGUCAAGAUUUGGAUUGGGUAUGAUUUAAUUCCAUGGUCACCAUAUCUUAUCUGCGUCUUUUCCAGCAUAUUUAUGUUCCAAGGAGAUUUAGUCCGAGGGCAACAUUUCAGUGGGUGAUCUGAGGAUUCUCAUUAACUUUGCCAUUAGCUAAUAUCUGUUUGUAUGCACCCUUCUUCUUGUUUUUGGUUUCUUUUUGUAUGUUGGCUAUUUGCAAACACUCCCCAGGGAAUCACACUUGGAAAACCUGUGAUGCCGAAUAGUCCCAUACGGUUUUCAUCUAAGCAGCUAAUACCCCCUUGCCUUCUUUGGAUAGAGUCCUUCCCUGUUUCUUUAUUACCAGCUAUCUUGUGUAAGAGAACUAAAAAUUUGGCCAUCUCAUUCUCUUCUGGUUACCAGUCUUUCGUAAAUGGUAAAUCCUAAUGACACCUUCUGCCAUUAACAAAGUUCCCUGCUCAUCUGCUGUAAUUUCCAUAUCUCUGCAGUGGACAAGAAUCUGUGAGAUUUAUUCCGCCAAGGUCUCCAGGCAUCUCAGCCCCCCUGCCAAGGUCCAUCUCUCCUUCCCUCUCUCUCUCUCUCUCUCUCUCUCUCUACACACGCAAACACACGCAAACACAAGUACUACUGUGUCCUGCCUCCAUCUUUCUUUGCACUGAGGUUUACUCCAUUAAAUAGGCUAUGACCCUUGACCCUCUGACAGUACAUAAACAAAGGUGUGAUAUUUCUCUCAAUAUAAAAAUCCAGGAUUUGAAUUGAUCAAUCAUUUCAAAUGGGGGCACCUUGAUGCAACAAUUACUUCACCACUCCAUUCCACCAAAACGAUACACUCUUGUUUCCUCUCUCGUUUUUUGAUAUGUAAACCUGCAUAAUGACUGAAGCAAAUUGGCUUAUUUGCUAUAGCAAAAUGACCUGUGAUUGAGGAUGCCAUUAUAUGUGUGCACAAUCAUGUGUUUCUAUUACAGUAAGAUUGAAUCAUGGCCUCAGAACUGGAAUUUAAAGCUGAACGCUUUUCGGUGCGUGUAUUUUAACUGAGGAUACUUAAUGGGUAUCUGUCAGACUCAUGCUGUUGACUGUUGAGGCUUUUCACAAAGUAAACUUGUUAUCACGUAACCAGAUCAUAUUUUCUCAAUCUGGAGUUCUUUGUAUUGUCUUAAAAUUGACCAAUGUUUUCCUUUGCAGUUUCUGUUUUUCAUCUGGAAUCCUCGACUGUCUAUCAUUCAAUAUGUGUGUGUGUGUGUAUGUAAACUAAUUUUUUCUCAUAAACUUGUUAUCCUAAAAAAUAUUAUCUUAAAAAAAUCUUCUUGCUCCUUGAUGCUCUUUUAGCUGAUCAUAUCACCCCUUUCUAUCUUUACAAAGCAAAUGAAGGAUAGCCUAGUUUAAUUUUUGGAGAAAUGUCACAAAUGGUCCCUAUACUAUUACUUAAUGUGCAAUUUGGUCACUGAACUUUCAAUCAGCUCAAUUUGGUUCUUGAACUAUUGAUAAAUGUCUGAUUUGGUCCCUGAAUUUUCAAUCGGCUCUAUUUGGUCCCUGAACUAUUUGAUAAAUGUCUGAUUUGGUCCCUGAACUUUCGAUCGGCUCAAUUUGGUCCCUGAAUUAUUGAUAAAUGUUCGAUUUAGUCCUUAGUUACCGUUUUUCCUUUUUUUCUUUUUUUCUUUUUAAAAUUUUUUUACAUCUUCUCUCUUCCCUCCGUCGGCUCCNNNNNNNNNNNNNNNNNNNNNNNNNNNNNNNNNNNNNNNNNNNNNNNNNNNNNNNNNNNNNNNNNNNNNNNNNNNNNNNNNNNNNNNNNNNNNNNNNNNNGCAAAUUGCGAAAAGUAGUCUCAAUCGUGCCAGGUUGUCUCUAAUCCCUGACAUAUUCCCUCAAUCUGAGCCCAACUUCCCGGCGUUGAUCAAGGGUCCACGUCCCAUUAUAGAGAUUUGGGGCUCCCUCCCCCGACGCCGGGGAGGGGCUCCCUCGCAGAUCUGGCGAGCGAGCCCCUCCCCCGACCCCGAGUUGCGAGGGAGCCCCUGUUCGGCGUCGGGCGAGGAGCACCCCUUUGUUGAUCGAGGGGCCCCCUUUCCCAACGCCGGCGAGGGGCGAGGGAUCCCGCUUCCGGGGAGGGGUGCGGGAGCCCCUCGCUCGGCUCCGGCGAGGGCCGCCCUCGCCUGCGUCCGGCGAGGGCGACCCUCGCCGGAGCUGGCUUCCCUUCGCCGGAGCUAGCGGAGGGAAGAGAGAAGAAGCAAAAAAGAUUAAAAAAAUUUAAAAAUUAAUUUAAAAAAAAAAAAAAAAAAAAAAGGAAAAACAGUAACUAAGGACUAAAUCGAAUAUUUAUGAAUAGUUCAGGGACCAAAUUGAGCCAAUCGAAAGUUCGGGGACUAAAUCAGAUAUUUAUCAAAUAGUUCAGGGACCAAAUUGAGCCGAUUGAAAGUUCAGGGACCAAAUCGGACAUUUAUCAAUAGUUCAAUGACCAAAUUGAGCCGAUUGAAAGUUCAGGGACCAAAUUACACAUUAGGUAAUAGUAUAGGGACCAUUUGUGACAUUUUCCCUUAAUUCUUUCCGUACUAGGAACUAAUUUUGGUGCGGUUGACAUGGUGUAAAAUAUCCGAUCGUCUUUUCUUCUUUGCAAAUGCACUUCUGGAAGCAAUAUUUCUAAUAACCCAGGUUAGUGCUUUGAAGAGCCCAUGCUGAUAUCAAUAAUGGUUUUAGAUUUGAACACCUGGAUAUCACCAGUAAUAUUUAGUGAGUUGCUUUGAUGUCUGAAGGUCCGAUUAGAAACCGACAUGGGGUGGGAUUACUUUAUUUGGCUUUCAGACCUAAGACUAUCAAAACUUCUAUGGGGCAAAAGACAAUAGGCACCAAGCUGACUGGUUUUUAUGACUCUUUAUUUUGUAUGCAGGCACUCCUUGCUGAUUUUGAAGUCUCUAAAGGCAUUUAUUCACGAGCUCGCAUUGAAGAUACUGAUUCAGUAUGUUUAUGGCUGGGAGCAAAUGUUAUGUUGUUGGAGUAUUCAUGUGAAGAGGUUCUUCUCGAGUUUAAGGAAUGUCCCUCUCUCCAAUAAUGAUGUCAAGUAUCUUAUUUAUUGCAUAAAUUUAUGUUGUAGGUCACAACCCUUCUACAAAAGAACUUAGAAGAUGCUAAAGCAAGUUUAGAAGUUUUUGUUGCUGAUCUACAAUUCUUAAAGGGACCAAGUAACAAUCACGCAGGUAAGUCAGAAUGAUUUGGAACUUGGAGGUCCACGUUUGUUUCAAGCCGUUUACUGUGUCGGUUUUGGGUAGGUCUAUUAGGGUCGAACUAAUGUUGCUCUGAAUUUUGUUACUGUCGUGAGGAUACAAAUUGGGAAGACAUGUUCAUUGGUGAUAAACUGGAGUGUGGUAUGUUUGCACGAAUGUGAACUUGAAAAAAUUUAAAGCUUGUUGUAGGACCAUAUCCUUUAGUUUAUCAUGGCAAAGAUGUUGGUGGCCCUGGGAAAUUUUUCUUUUUUAGGGGUUUGAAACAGCCCUUGAGAGGUGAAUUUUUAUUUGGCAGGUUACAAUUGCUCGUGGGUAUAAUUGGGAUGUUCACCAAAAGAGAAUCCGUCAAGCUGGUGCUCCUGCCAAAGACUCUUAAAGGAAUCUUUUGAGCUCGCAUCAUGGUAGCAGAACGUGUACUCCUGGAUGAGAGUACGACUUUGAUCUCCCCAUUUUCAAUUAGGUGAAUUAUGCACUGCUCUGCGAUAGCAAUGGUUAUGACCCACCACGAGUGAUUUUGGUUAGGUUUACUUAGAUUUACUGCAUUACGCAAAGAAUGUCAUGUAAACGAUUUUGAUCGAGAACCUUUUGGGCUUGAGUUUUCACUUUGUGUUCGGUGCGCUAGUGAGGGCCAGCGAGGGCAAGGCCCCACCAAAUCUGGUGAGCUCGGCCCUCGCCAAAUCCGGCAAGGCCUCGCCUAGCCAAAGCGAGGGUCAACCUCGCCAGCCACUGGCGAGGCGACCUCGCUUGCCGUCCACAAUGCAGCAGCAAUCAGAAGCCACGAGCUCGCUCGCACUCCGAAGGCGCAAUCGCAAGGCACGGAUUGAGGUGGAGAGAGAGAACGGUUCCGAGCGAGCGGCGAGGCAACCUCCUCAACUGGAGAAUCUACGAGUGACUGUCCCUUUCUCUCUCUCGUUUGAAGUGACCGAGCGGUGGUGACGUAGCGGACGACGAUAGGGCAUGUGGCGCAGUUGCAGUAAGCACGGAGUACGCUUGGCCAAUUGUGACCGAGACAUGGCGGUCGAUAGGGUUUCGGGGGAAGACAACGAUGACGACACGUCAGGCGGCAGCUUGUCACCUAUUCGUAGUGAGGAUACAGCAUGGCGGCGUUGUUGGUUGGCAAGAUGGCGUCAGUUGUUGCGAUGGCAAUAGAUAGCAGGGAUUUUUCUUCGGGACAGCGUCAGGGCUACACUGAAGCAGAUGCUAGCGGGCGACAGUGACGCGGGGGAGAUCCAAUGUAGCAAUGGCAUCGGGGGGUUCGGGCAGCGUCGAUGGCGCCUCCUUCCUGCUCGGAUCUAGCCCCCUUCUCUAGUUUCUCUUCCUCUCUCCAGUCCAUCUUCGCAGAUCUGGAACUCCCUUGCCCAGAACUCGCUUGACCGUCAUCUCGCAACUUCACACGUGGCACACUAUAGCCGAAUAUAGACAGAGAAGACAAAUUAAAUCAUCGAUACGUUAUGGUUAUACAUAUAUUGCUUAUGUAUUGACUGUAGGUGAUGAGGUGGAGACAGAUGAGCCUUCGUAUUACUUUGAGGCGAUGGCUAGUUUGAAGUCAUCAUAAUGGCUAGGGGUUAUGAGUGAAAAUAUGGAAUCACUCUAUCAAAAUUAGACAUGAGAGCUGGUCAAAGUACCCAAGAGCCAAAAGAUUGUCGAAAGUAAAUUGGUCUUCAAACGGAAAGAGGGCAUUCUCGUUGUUGAGGCAAUGAGGUAUAAGGCGAGACUUGUGGCAAAAGGGUAUACACAGCGUGAGGGCAUUGACUAUAAUGAGGUGUUCUCUCCUGUGGUAAGACAUACUUCUAUUCGUGUUUUACUUGCCUUAGUUGCUUCGCAGGAUCUCGAGUUAGAGCAACUAGAUGUGAAAACGGUUUCUUCACGGUGAGUUGGAGGAGUAGAUUUACAUGAGGCAACCAAAGAGAUUUGCUAUUCCGAGUAAAGAAGAUCAUAUUUACUUGUUAAAGAAAUCUUUGUAUUGGCUGAAAUAGUCUCCUAGGCAGUGGUAUAAACGUCUUGAUGCUUUCAUGGCUAGUGAAAACUAUUCAAAAAGUCAGUUGGAUAGCUGUGUUUACUAUAGGAGAUUGGAGAAUGGUUAUUUGAUUUAUCUACUCUUAUUUGUUGAUGAUAUGUUGAUAGCAGUUAAGAAUAUGUCUGAUAUUGAUGUGCUAAAGAGGCGGUUAAAUGUUGAUUUUUUUAGAUGAAAGAUUUUGGUGCUGUAAAGAAAAUUUUGGGUAUGGAGAUUUUGUGUGACAAGACUGCAUGAGUUUUAUGUCUAUUUCAAAAGAAAUAUAUUGAGAAGAUCAUAACACGUUUUAAUAUGCAAAUCAGCAAAAUCUAUAAGUAAACCUUUAGCGAAGCACUUUAAAAUUUCAAAUAAAUUAUCACCGCAGACUGAGGAUGAUGAGGAGCAUAUGUCUCGUGUUCCUUAUUCUAGUAAUGUUGGUAGUAUUAUGUAUGCUAUGAUGUGCACUAGGUCUGAUAUUUCACGAGCUGUGAGCAUGAUUAGCCGCUAUAUGAAGCGUUUUGGUAAAGCUCAUUGGGAAGCUGUGAAGUGGAUCUUCAAAUAUUUAAAGGAGACAACAGAUGUGGGUAUAGUAUACCGGAGGGACAACAAUGGCAAUGAGACCACUGGUUUUGUGUAUUCGGAUCACGCUGGUGACUUGGAUGAUCGCAGAUCUUUAACAGGGUACGUGUUUACGCUAGCCAAUGGUGCAGUUAGUUGGAAAGCAUCCUUACAGGAUCACAUUGCCUUGUCUUUGACUGAGGUAGAGUACAUGGCACUAACCUUUGUAGCGAAGGAGGCGAUAUGAUUACAAAGUUUGCUCUCAGACUUUGGGUUAGAAUAAAAAAGUGUGGAUAUACACUGCGAUAACCAAGGUGCGAUAUAUUUGACGUAUAAUCCAAUUUAUCAUGAGUGAAUGAAGCAUAUCAACAUCAAGUACCACUUCAUCGAAGAUGUCUUAGCUAAAGGUAAUGUUACUAUUAAAAAGAUUGUUACAGCAGAUAAACCAACAGACAUGAUGACUAAGUUUGUUCUUUUGGCAAAGUUCAAGCUUUGCUUGAGUUCUAUUGGCAUAUGUGGAGAGUGAGCGUCCGUUGGGGCGUUGGGAGAGCAGCAUGGAUGAUGAGUACUAUAACUUGGCUUUAAACAUCGAGCCAAGGUGGAGAAUUGUUAAAUUAUUACUCGAGUUUUAAUGUUUAUAAAAUGCAAUUUGCUAGAAAAGAGGAAAUAUAAAAUAAAAUAAAAGGUGAGGAAAGUUUCCUCUUUGCCGCGGAAUCCUUUACGAAAUAGAAAAGGAAAGCCGCGUGAAGCCUCUACACGCCAAGAAUUGAAAGUGGUGGGCCCAAGGUCAAAAGUUUGACCUUGGGCACACACACUCCAUGCCAAGGGAGGAAGUCUGCCACGUGAAGCCAAAAUAUGCAGGUGGCGCCCAAUUGGACACACACCUAUAAAAGGCAAAUAGUUUUGCAGGUCUUCUACCUCUACGUUUUGAUGCUGCCGAAGUCCUUUACGUAGGAACACGAACACGCUGCCGAAGCCAUACGUAAGAAGUUGCACGUCCGCUAAAGAGAAGCUAGAGAUUUUUCUUUUUGGCGUGUGACUUGAACGCAUGGUAAUUUUGUGUUAUGAGUUUAUACUCAAGUGAGUUGUUUAUUUAUAAACACUUUUGAUUUGGGAUUAAAUCUAGGUGUGGGAAACACUUGAACGUUUGAGCGAUUGUAAAUUAUGAUUCUCCGAUUAUAGUGGAUUAUUUGCUGCUGGCUCUCCCCGUGGACGUAAGUACCGAUACUCAAACCAAACUACGUAAAUUUCCGGUGUCUUUAUUUUUCUUGUUUAUUUCUCUGGCGAUUUCGUGUUGACGUAAAUUAUAAGAUCCUAUCGUUUCCGCAUAUUAUAUCCCAACAAAAGUAAUGGCAAGUUGUCCAAUACAUCCAACACUUAACCGUGCAGUAAAAAAAUAUAUUUCCAGAUGACAACCUUUUGCUCUUUGAAGACUUUCGUCAAUUAUUUCCUCAACUUAGCCUUCUAUUUGGCGCGAGUCUGAAUGCUUAAUUUUUUAUUUAUUUUUUUAACUUGUGAAGGAAGGCCGCAAGUAAUUUCCAGGCAAACGUAGUGGAAGUGAAGUCAUCUCACUCUGUUUCUUUAUCAAGUUGUUAUAAGAUGAAGAUAUGACAAGUGAUAGCUUGACUAUAUAGAAUUGUGCCUUACACAGGACAACUUGUGUUUAUGCGUGUGAUAAUUACAUAUGAGCUAUCUGUUUCCAUAUGAUGAAUUACAUGCUUCCAUAUACUCUCAAUCAUGUUGCACUUCAGCUAAAAUAAAGAUCCCCGAGACAACCUCUUCCUCUUCGAAGUCUUUGAUCAAUUAUUGCCUCAACCUCCUAUUUUGUGCGAGUCUAAAUGGUCUUUUUUACAGGCGAACGUAGCGGAAGUAAGCGAGCGAUCUCACUCUGUUGCUUUUUGUCAGGUUGUUACAAGGAUCGGACUCAAUUCAGAGAUCAAUAGCCAUUGUCCUCACGGAAUGAAGAGAAAGAGGGAGAGAAAAGAAAUGGAAAUGGCAGCUCCAACAAGCAGCAGCCGUGAUGACAGGUCAAGGAGGGGCUAUGAGGUGUUCCUCAACUUCAGAGGGCCUGACACCCGCUUAACCAUCAUUGAUUCUCUCUACAAUGACAUGAUCCGCACGGGGAUUUGCACUUUCAAAGACAAUGAAGAGCUUCGAUUUGGUGAAGAUAUUGAAGGCAGCCUCUUGCAAGCGAUCAAUGAAUCCAGAAUUUACAUCCCAAUUUUUUCCAAAAACUACGCUUCAAGUAAGUGGUGUCUCCAUGAGCUGGCACACAUAGUGGAGUUAUCGAAAGAUAAUGAUGAGAAAGUGAUUCUCCCUAUCUUCUAUGAUGUGGAUGUGGAUGAUGUCAAGCUUAAGACUAAUUUAUAUCAGAAAGCCCUCCAAAAGUACAAGAGUGACUCAGAGAAGGAUUUAGUAAAGAAGUGGAAGAAGGCUUUGAGAGCAGUUGCCAGAAUUAAAGGAAGGAAUCUAAAAGAUCAUGGGUAUUGUUUGCUUCUCCAUAACUUUAUUUUCUUAUUGACAUUUUCGAUUUUUUUUCCUCUAAAGAAUAAUUAGAUUCAGGUUGCUGCUGUCCAACCUUAUGUAAUGUAUGGUUGGAUUUGACGCAAUGGGGAGCUAGAAAUUUUGCUCAGAUGGCGAGGUUUCUUGCACAAAUUGAAUUUUCACUUUUAAUACUAAGUUUUGAUAACAAUUAGUGUUAAGGUAUAUCAACUUAAUUAAUUAAUCUAUAAUGCCAAAAAACCAAGAUAUCCAUGAAGAUCUAAGAUUCGAAAAAAUAAUAAGAUCAUAUAAGUGUGAAAAAAAUAAAUUAAGUUUCUUAACUUCAAUUGCAUUCCAUACAUAAAGUUAAGGGAUAUGUGCAUUGAAAGUCCUAAAACUUAUCACAAAAGUACAAUCGAAUCUUAAAACUUGCAAAAAAUGCAAUCAAGUUCUAAAACCCGUUGAAUUGGUUCAAUUGAAUCCUUCAGUUAAUUCCAUCCAAUUAGCUAACGGAAAAUACUAACAUGUCUUAUUUUAUUUUUUUAUUAGACACGUGCCCAUGACAUGGUGCUCACCAAGUGCCACAUUAGAAAAAAUUUAAAAAUUACAAGCAAAAUUAGAUUAAAAUAUAAAAAGCUAUAAAUUUUUAAUAAAUAAAAAAAAACUCACCCCACGGCUUGGCCAAGCCCUUGCUAGUGGCCACUGCCACAACCACUGGGAGGGGUUGGUGGAGGUCACCUAGGCCUUUGCCGGCCUUGGGCGAGGCCUUGGCGUGCCCAGACGAGGGUCCCCAAGCUUUGAGAAGGCCUAGGGCUAGGCUUAGCCACAACUUGAUUUUUAAAAUAAAAAAAAAUGUAGCUUUUUUUUUUAAUUUAAUUUUGUUUGUAUUCUUUAAAUUUUAUUCCUGAUGUGGCACUUGGUGGGUGCAACAUCAUCGCCACAUGUCUUAAGAAAAUAAUAAAAUAAGACAUGCCAGCAUUUUCAGUUAGCUUAAUUGAACGGAGAUAACGGAAUGACUCAAUUGAACUAAUUUGAUAAGUUUUAAGGCUUGAUUACGCUUUUUGCAAGUUUUAGGACUCGAUUCCCUUUUCACGAUAAGUUUUAGGACUUCUAGUAAACUUACUUGCUAAAGUUAAGGACUUUUGAUGCAAUUUUCCCAACCCUAUGCCUGCAAUGUUUUCUUGUCCUUUUGUUAUGCUAAUGAAAGCUGAAGAAGAAUCGGCCCAAAAUAAGAGUGCUCGAUAACGAGCUUCUUUAUGUGUUCCGAGCCAUUAAUGGCCGGUGUUAGUUAAUAGUUGUUAGUAUUUGAUGUGCGUUAUUUAUUUAUUUAUUUAAUUUUGGUCCAAGUGUUUGAUGACGUAAAAAUGUGCGGGAAUAAAAAGAAAUUAUAGCAUAGACUAAGUCUUUGCAAUAUCCAAAAAUCCACGAGGCCAAGAGGAAGAAACCGAUCCUUGUGGAUUCCUUUUCGGCCUUAGGGAAUUCAUAUGCCUUGCUACUGUUUUGCUCGAGGUAACCGGCUAAUUAUGGUCACACCCCUGAGUUACACAAAAAUAACAGAGCUUCUUCAUAAUGAUAGUUUUACGUGCCCAUAAGAGGAAGCUAUAGGUCAUGGUUUUCCUAUUUGGUCUGAAUAUACAGGACCGAACACUAAAAAGAUCUUUGCAUGCCAUUAUCCAAAAGGGCAAAAAGAAAAAAUGAUUUCUGCAUGUGUUAGACGUUCAAUCUUCUAGUACACAUCUUAUCGCAUCUUAAUUAGUUUGUGAAGAACUGACUUAGAUUUAGUUGUAUUAUCAAUCUUGGGCUUUUACUUUCAUCAUAGUGGGGCAGGGGUCAUUGGCGUCUCUAGUGGCCAAUUGUGCAUAGACAAAAUCUACAGCCUUAAACUGAACAUUCUUCUACGAGUGAUCUAAAGUUUGCCAAUAUUGGACCCGUUUCUGUCUAGUAAAAAGUGAAAAAAAAAAAAUUGGUUAUUGCCCUUGCUUUAACCAUGGACCUAUUCAUGGCCCCAGGUCUUAAUUAACCAAAAAUUCAAUUAAGGGACUUCUAGGUAGUUCUAGUUACGGAUAGAGAAAUCUAGGAACCUCUAGAAAAUGGAUAAGAAAUUUAAUCAUUUUAAUUACCUUGAGAUAUGUAACUACUCUCUACCCUAGUUUGUGAUAGUUUUUCUAUAAACCCUAGUCGUUAUUCUAUGCUUACUUUCAUCUUUCUUCAUUAAACCGUAUUGUUUCCGUCAUUCAUCAAACAUAGUAAAGGUGCGGUUAGUUCGGCAUUUGGAAAGUUCAUUGGGAAAAUGCAAAGCCUUUUAGCCUAAAGGACUUUGAAGGAAAUGCAAAGACUGUUUGGUAAAUUCUGCUUUGAAAAGCAACUUUGAGAUAAAUGUUAUUUGGUAGAAAACACAUUUGCAAAGCCCCUUUGGUGAUUAAUCUAAAAUUUUUAAUUUUUUUUGGUGAAAUAAAUAGUUUAAUUUUUUUUGGUGAAAUAAAUAGUUUUAUUUUAAUUUGUUUAAAAAUUAAAAAAUAAUGUUUGCGACUUUUUUAAUUUAUAUUUGACAAAAAAUGUUAAAGAUGUUGUGUAAACAAUUUUAUUAAAAUUAAAAUUCUUUUUUUUUUUGGCUAAAAAACAUCAAAUGGGAAAAAUUUAUGUACUCUCUUUCUCAAUUACAAUAAGAAUACUUUCAUUAUAAUAAAAAAAAAAUGAUGACAUAUGCUUUGAGAAAAGAAGCUCAUUAUCCUUAAAAAUUACAAAUAUCCUUAAUUACUUCCUAAAAGAUCACGUAAACAUGCCAUAUCAGAUGCUAUAUCAUCAUUUGAAGCAUUACCCUCUCAAUUGACAUCAUUAGGAUCCGUUGUAUAUAAAUUGGGAUCCAAAUCCACUCUAGCAAAAUGUGCAUCAUUCAAGGCAUUUCUUCAUUUCUUUUAAAUCAAAUAACUUUAAACAUGAUGAUAAACUUCUAGUGCCAUGAAAUGCGUGCAAAUUUUCCAUAUAUGUGGUUUUUGAAUCUGAGAUGGUUGCAUAUUUUGUGGCAGCCUAGAUGAACUUAAGAAUCUCACGAUCAAGGAGGUUUCUAAUUUGUUAUGGACAAGACGGACAGACAUGCCUGAUCAUUCGGUGGGAAUUAAGGAUCGGAUGGAUGAAAUUAUGGAGCAGUUAGAUCUAGUAGCAUUUGAUGUGAGAUUCAUCGCAAUUCAUGGAAUGGGUGGUAUUGGGAAGACAACAUUGGUCAAGGCUGUCUUUAGGCGAAUCUCCCCUCAAUUUUCGGGCAUUGGUGCUUUCUUAAAGAUGUCCGGACUCAGAUAUACUAAAGUUACAAAAAAAUUGGUGGUUGAUGUCCUCAAACUCAGUUGUAUAAACCUCUCCUUCAUUGAUGAAGGGGCUCACCUGAUCAAGACGAGGUUCCAUGGGAAGAAAGUCCUCAUUGUUCUUGAUGACAUUGACAACCGAGACCAAAUCAUGAGACUUGUUGGUAAGCCAAAUUGGUAUGGUGAGGGUAGUAGAAUCAUCAUAACAACAAGGAAUAUUGAAUUCCUAGUAAAGGAAGGUGAAGAUCACAAUGCCCCAAUCUCAGAUACUACACAUUUUUCAUUCUACACUAUGCCGGAGAUGAAUUGGGAUGAUGCUCUUAAACUUUUUUGUGAGCGUGCCUUGGGAUGUGUCAAGCCUCCAGAUGUUUACAUUGAUAUUUCAGAAAAGGUAAUCAAUGCACUUGGAAGACUUCCAUUGGCUCUCGAUGUCGUAGGUUCCACACUCCGUGGAAAAUGCCAAAGUACAUGGAAAAAUGUUCUAUCUAAGUUAAAGAAGGUGAUGAACGAGGAUGUCAAGAAGAAGUUGAUGAUAAGCUAUGAAGCAUUGGACCCUAAUCAGCAACAGAUAUAUCUUGAUAUUGCAUGUUUCUUCAUUAAUCAAGAGAAAACAACUGCAAUUAAAUAUUGGGACGCAGUUUUUGGGUAUCCCACCGAAAUCGAAGUCAAUAUCCUCACACGUAUGUCUCUAAUAAAGAUCAUAGACUACGAUGAAUUAUGGAUGCAUGACCAACUUAGAGACCUCGGGCGAGAUAUUGUCCACCGGGAAAGUUGCAACAUAUGUUUAACGGGUAGUAGACUCUGGUUACCCAAGGACGCCUUCCAUUUGGUGCAAAGAAAAAAGGUAAGUUCUAACUCUAAAAGUUUUCCUCUCUUUCCAUUAGUAUCAUUACCUUUUAAAUCUAAUGUCAACUCAAAUUGACACAUGCAUUCAUUGGUUGCUACUUUUAUCUUCUAGGGAACCAAGAACAUAGUGGCACUUAAUCUUGGUACACCUAAACCGGAUGCAACAUAUAGAUUUAAACACAAGGAAUUUGCAAGGAUGGUCAAUCUUAGAUUCCUUCAAUUGGACCAUGGAAACUUCCAAGGAGACUUUAAGGAUCAUUUUUCCGAGUUAAGAUGGCUCUCUUGGCACAAUUGCCCAUCCAAAUUCCUUGCUACCAACUUUGGGUUGGAGAACCUAGCAGUUCUUGAGCUUUCUGGGAAUAAUAUUACUAAAGAUUGGGGAGGAUGGCGUCAAAUCAUGGUAUGAUUUCAUGACAUACUUUUGCAUUACCUUUACUCUUUUUCUUUUCUAAGUUUCAGCUUAAUUGCUUUAUAGGUAGCAAAGCAGUUGAAAGUCCUAAAACUCCUGGAUUGUCCAUUACUUAGAAAGACACCAAAGUUCUCUGCAAUCUCUAGAUUAGAGAGAUUAAUCCUUAGAUGCAAGCAACUUGGAAAGAUCGACAAGUCCAUCGGCGUUUUACAACAUCUUGAUUACUUAGAAAUAUUUUCUCAAGAACUUUCAGUGUUGCCUCACUCGAUUGGUAAUCUAGUGAGUGUGAAGCAUAUAAUCUUGUCAUGUUGGGAAUUGCAAAAGCUCCCUAAUUCUAUUGGACAAUUGGAGUCACUACUUGAGUUGAAUGUCAGACAUACAAGUGUGAGAGAAUUACCUUAUUCCAUUAGGAACUUAGGAAGGUUGGAAAUUUUUAUGAUCCCAAAUGGCUAUUUAAAAAAGCUACCAGACUCAUUUGGGAGGCUUCAAUCAUUGGUCAAGUUGGAUUUGAGUCUUUCACGCAUCAGGAGCUUACCUGAUUGUAUUGGAAAUCUCAAAAGGUUGAAGGCACUAAAUCUAGAUCAUAGCCGCAUAAUUGAACUUCCGAAAACUAUAGGAACAUUGGAAAAAUUGGAAGAGUUGAGUGCCUCAUGUGAACACCUGGAGGGGGAAAUUCCAAGUGAAAUUGGGGCACUAUCCUCAUUGAAAUUUCUAGAUUUAUCAGGUGGCUGUUUUAGUGGAUUGCCGACAACUAUCAAUCGGCUUACAAAUCUCCAAAAACUUAAUUUAUGGGACUGUAGGUCAAUUCAACAAUUGCCAGAGCUUCCUAAGAGUCUAAGGUCAUUAAGCUUUUCAUUGGACUCAUUGACUACAAUCCCUGACUUCUCCAACCUAACCAAUUUAGUUCAUCUUGAUAUAAUUGGAACAAAAGUACAAGAACCCAACAUAGAGGGGCUUUUGAGAGCAAGUGCUCUAAGAAAGUUGACCUUGUGGGUUGGAAAAAUGACCUUGCCUCCUACUGAUUUGAGUUCCCUCAUUCAGUUACAAGAACUCUUUGUAAGUUAUGCCAACCCCCGAUCUCUUAUCGGGCUUCCAUCCAGCCUUCAACAGUUGACUUUAGUCGAUGUCCAAUCACCAAUAGAUUGGUCGCUCUUUUCCAACUUGGAGAAUUUGUCAAGAUUGAUUAUUGAGAGAUAUUCGUUAGGCGAGAUUCAUUUCGAUGGGUUUGGAAAGCUACAAAAUUUCAAUGAAUUGAUGAUAUUCGACUGUCCAUUGCUUAAGACUCUGCCCAUUCUGCCUUGUAUGAAAAAGAUCCAGCAUUUGUACCUACGCCAAUUCCCUCACCUAAUUGAGAUUCAGGGUUUGGGAGAAUUGAAAUCAUUGCGGACACUAUGGAUUUGGAACUGUAAUUCCAUCAAAAGCUUAAAUGAAUAUGAUCUAUCUACUUUACAUAAUCUAAAAAGAUUGGAUUUCAAUCGGUGUGAAUCACUGGAGAGCAUGUUGGGUGUGCCAAAAUCUUGCGAACUCACUGUAAGUUACUGCCCAAGGUUCAACAAAGAUGAAUGAGGUAUGUAUCAUUUGUUUACUAAGACUUUGCUUAAUUAAAAGAUUUAGGUGACUCACCUGCUUUGCUCAAUUCAUGAAAAUUAUAAAUAUGGAAACUUCUCAUAGGUUAUCAUGGUGAGAAAAGGAAUGAAUAUAGUUAGUCCCUUUGAUCCAUCAAAGUAUAUAAGUAAUGUCAAGUAUACUAGACAAAAUUAGUGUUUUUUUUGUCAGCAUACAAAAUUAGGUUUUUUUUUUUUUUUGGUCAGAAACAGGAAAUUAUAUUGGAGAGGUAAAACCAUUACAACCGGCAGCUAAAGCAUCCAUGCAAAUGAGAUCUAUCAAAUAAAACGAGGGAAAAAUGGCCCAACAUUGGACAGAGGAAGAACGAUCAUGGGCCUUUGUAGCCCAGUCAGCAGCAACAUUGGCCUCCCUUCUGCAGUGCCCUAGCGAGAGAUUAGGGAAACUCGAGAGCAAGGAGGCAGCUUCGACGAAGAGAGGCCGAUCCUCCCAUGGCGGCUUGCGGCGACGAUUCAGGAUCUCAACCACCAGGAAGUUGUCUAAUUCAAGGAGAAGCGAAGCAUUGGAGAAGCCAUGGCAUUGCAGAUGCUGAAGAGAUAAAGACAGCUUGGAUCUCGGCUUGAAAGGCAGAAGAUGCAGCAAAAUGUUUCGAAAAUCCAUCGGUAAGUCUUCCGUGAUGAUCCCUGCAUACACACGCCAUUGUGCCUUCUCUCGAGCCGAGUUGAUAAGACCCACCUACAUUAAACUUCAAGGUACCUCGAUCUAGGGGCUUCCAAAGGGUUCCCCUACUCAGUAACGAACACCCCUUAUUCAUCAGCGAUGAAGCCAUCAGAUGAGUGACAUUAGAAUCAGUCAGUGCAACCUCAGCCACCCGAGAUGGUCGAAGGCCUUCUUGUCGAAAAAUAAAACCAUUUCGAGCACGCCAAAUCUGCCAAAGAAUUGAGACCAAAGUCUCCAAACCAGGUAAGAAAGAUCUAGACUGAACUAGUUGGACUAUCCAUUCAUCUAUUCUAUGAAGCUGCAUAGGUGAAAUCUGAAUGUUGAAGCUGGGGUGCGCCCAGACCCUUUUAGUCCACGAACAUAAUAAAAACAGAUGUUCAAGAGUUUCAGGGAGAUUCUAAUCACAAAGUAGACAACACGGGUUGUUAAUAAUAUGUCGCUGAAAUAAAUUAGCCCUUGUAGCAAGAGCAUUCUAACAAAGCGACCAUAGGAAGGCUCGAAUUUUUGGGGGGGGGGGGGGGGAAUGCAUUUUCCAGAUUCUUUUCCAUAACCAACUUGGAUUCUAAUAAGAUGAGGAAGUGGUACUUAUUGUCUGGUGUGUUGCUGUUGUUGUGAAUGAAAGAUAAGCAGAUUUAAUAGUGAAAUAACCAUCUUUGGUAGCAGUCCAGAUAAUCUGAUCUCUGGUAGAAAGUGGUCGCAGAGGGAUAGUGGUGAUCUGGUCUAUAACCUGAUUGUCAAAGAAUUUGUGUAACAAGCUGGCAUUCCCAGUAUUGGUGGAUUGAUCAAUAAGAUCAGCUACCAAAAUAGGUUCUUCACGGAUUGAAGGGCCACUUAAGAUUCCAAUAGGGAGCCAAGGAUCACCAUGUAUUCUGAUUGAUUUACCAUCACCUACAGACCAACGUAUGUUGGGUAGGAUGGCAUCCCGACCAAGCAGAAGACUCUGCUAGCCCCAAGAUGGGCGAGAGCCUUUGUCAGCAUUUAGAAAAGACUUGGAAUGAAAAUACAAUCCUUUGAAAAAUUUGCUCCAAAGAGAUAAAGGCUGAUAAAGUAAACGCCAAGCCUGCUUAGCCAGCAUUGCUCUAUUAAAAUGUAGAAGAUCUCUAAAGCCUAAACCUCCAUCUGCUUUACUUUUUUUCAAAACAUCCCAACUCCACCAAUGUAUUCCUGAUUUAUUUCGAUCAUUCUGCCACCAAAAUCUGGCUACGCUUUUCUCGAUAGAUCUACAAAUAGACACAAGCAACUUGAAGGUAGACAUUGCAUAAUGAGGAAUAGCCUGGAUAACAGUUUUGAGUAGGAUCUCUUUCCCACCCUUUGAAAUCAGAUUAGCUUUCCAACUCUCCAAUUUAGAUUGAACUCGGCUCAAUAUCCAUGAAAACAUGUCUUUUUUCAAACGUCCCCAAUCAGAAGGUAUCCCUAAGUAUUUUCCACAUUUGUUCAGAAUAGGAACCCGGAGCUCCGAAGCCAAAUUCUGCUGCAAACUAACUGGGCAAUCUUUUCCAAAGUAGAUACCAAAUUUAUUACGAUUAAUUUCCUACCCUGUUGCUAGACAAUACUGCUCUAAUAUAUUCGAUAGAUUCUAGCAUUCAUUAACAGUACCAUCAAGAAAGAAUAUGGCAUCAUCCGCAAAAAAACAAAUGAGUUAAAGAAGGGCACCACCUGUUAAGUUCAAUACAUUUAAGAUGUUCCAAGUUGACAACUUUCUUAAUAAGUGUAGAAAGGAUAUUAGCCAACAUAAUAAACAGAUAAGGGGAGAGAGAAUCACCUUGUCUAAGACCUCUAGAAGGGUAGAAAUAGCUAAGAUGUUCUCCAUUCGGUUUAACACAGGAUGUUUGAGUCGAAAUACAUUGCAUAGUCCACUUCACCCAAGUAGGAUGAAAACCCAGUUUAAGGAGAUAAUCUUGGAGAAAAUCCCAUUCAACCCCGUCAUACGUUUUCCUCAUAUCCACUUUCAGAAAUGCUUGAUAAGUACAACUUCCUUUCUUGAUUCAAAGCUGGUGUAGAACUUCCUAGACAAGUAAAACAUUAUCCUGAAUUUGUCUACCCCCCACAAAAGCAGAUCGUUCCUCUGAGAUAAGGUCUGGUAAGAUGGGUUUUAGAUGAUUUGCAAUGAUUUUAGAUAUGACUUUAUAAGCAUAAUUGCACAGACUGAUAGAACGAUACUGAUCAAGGCUUUCUGGGUGAGGAAUCUUAGGAAUCAAAGCUAUUAAAGUUCUGUUUAAAGAAGAGGGCAUAACACCAGUAGUAAAGAACACAUUAACAACUUCAAAGAGAUCAUAUUUAAUAAUGUCCCAGUUCGUCUAAUAAAAUAAAUCAUUAAGACCAUCAGGGCCCGGAGCUUUGGCUGCUCCUAAUUGAAAGGUUGCCUGCUAUACCUCUUCCAGGGUAACAACAACAGUUAAACUAGUAUUCAUCUCCUGUGUUACCAAAGGAGUGCACUGAUCUAAGAUAGGAGCAUAAUUGCGACAUCCUAUUAAGGUAUAUAAGCGUGAGAAGAAAUCUGUCACCAUCUCCUUUAUUCUUGUAGGAUCCCGCACCCAAAAGUUAUCGUCAUUCUUAAGCAUAGUAAUACGAUUACGCUGACGACACUAAACAGUUGUUGCAUGAAAAAAACUAGCGUUCUUGUCUCCCCAUUUCAGCCAAUUAAGUCUGGAACGGAUAGCCCAAUAUUGUUCUUCACGACUCCACACCCUCUGCAGUUCUUCCUUCAAAGUUUUAACCUCAGUGUGAUCAUAAAAGACAUUCUGUUGAUUAGUAAGGUGCUGCAGUUGGAGCUGCAAAUCAUUAGCCCUAAGUCUUAUGAUUGAAAGAUGCAUUCAUGCUGCGAACAGAAUUCCAUGAAGUAUUAAUAAUAUCCCGACACUCCACAUCCUAAUUCCAAUAAGAUUCAUACUUAAAGUAGUGCUGUCUAGAACCAACCACUGGUGAAGUGUUAAGGAUAAGAGGACUAUGGUCAAAACCAAUAGCAGGUAAAGCAUAAACCUCAGCCUAAGGAAAAAGUAAUCUCCAAUCCAGUGAGCACAGGGCUCGAUCUAGACACUCCUUUAUUAACUCAUCCCCCUGAUGAUUGUUUAUCCACGUAAAUGCACAACCCUUAGCUUCAAUAGGCAUUAAAGAACAGUCAUUGAGAACAUAUUGAAAAGAAGCCAACCGAUUAAAAUCAACUGGUCUACCUUCGUGCUUUUUCCAGUGAAAAAGAAUCUCAUUGAAAUCACCGAUGUAGGCCCAAGGAAGAGUAUUUGCAAGGCUGAUGUUAAUGAGAUCCUGCCAAACCUCAAGUCUCAAACGAGCAACAGCAGGGGCAUGAAGACACGUGAGGCGCCAGGUAAUGCUUUCUACUUCAUCUAUACACAUCAUAUCGAAGUAAUCCAGAGUUGAACACACAAAAGAAAGAGAAACAGAAUCAUUCCAUAAAACUGCUAAACCCCUGCCAAACCAACUAGGUUGUAAACACACAGAAGCAAAAAAUGCAACCGAAUUUGCAACUGACUAAGGACAGCUUCGCAAUUUUUAGUUUCCAUAAAAAAUAAGAGAUCAGGUUUUUCCUUAACUACCAGGGCCUUUAGUGCUUGAACUGUCAGGGUAUUGCCCAAACCCUGAGAGUUCCAACUGAUCAUUUUCAUUUGUGACAAGGGGGCUAUUGAGGGCUAGCCACCCAUGCCCAACUUCCAUCUCUAGGAGCUUGCUCAAUGGGAGUGUCCAACAGUAAAGAUUCAUCCAGAUCAUCUAGUGUUGCACUGCGCAUAUCAUAUGCGUUAUACCUCUUAUGUUUCUUAACAGGGCCAACUUUUGUUAUAUGGCGAGAGCUCUUCAGCCUUUUGUCCUGAGUGACACUGCUUGUAUUAAACUGAACACCCUUCUGCUUUGCUGAUGCAGGAAUCAAAGCAAUGUGAGAAUCGCUGCCCCGAUGCGAGGACACCAGCACUAGAGGAGCUAGAGGAUGUGAUGCAGGAGGAAUAUCAAUCACUAAAGGCUGCAACAAGGGAGAGGCUUCAGAGGUAGGAAUUGGCGGCAAUAAAGGAAGGGGUUGAGCAACUGUAGGGGGAGUUUUAGGUACCACUUCUUCCACUAUGUCCUCCAUCUCUGUCGUUUCAUAAUAAAGUUUACAGUACGGACUAUGUUCCAUAAGCUUAGCGCGCAGCCAUUGUCCAUACGACAACUUGUCCUCUCCAGUUAAUACAUCAACAUCAACAGGUUUAUCGAUACAUGAGGUGGCAUAAUGCCUUAACUUCCCACAUAGAUAACGGUAAUGGGCAAGACGUUCAUACCUAAAAUCCAACCAAAUGGUCUUAUUAUUAAUGCUAAUCGAACGACCUGUCUGCAAAGGAUGCUGAAAGUCAAUUUCAACAUGCGCACGCCCUAAUCUCAUGGUAAACGUGUCUUGACCAUCGGCCCUUACUUCCAAAACUUUCCCAACUGUCAUAACUGCUUUUCUAAUAAGCUGUCAUGUGCACAAUUCCAGGGGAAGGCCAAACACUUGCACCCAAAAAGCGCAAGUUGAGAAAUCAUAGAAUGCAGCGGUGUGUUGGGAAUCCAAGCCUUAAAGACCACCAAUCGACUAGAAAAGACCCAAGGUCCCCCCACUAAAAUCCUCUAUUUAUUAGUAUAUAAUUUAAAUUUCGCCGCAUAGAGACCAUCCUCUCUCUAAGAGAUGUCCACCUGUUCUGUACGCCAAACCCUUUUCAUAGUACUCUGGGAAGCCUGGAAGUUUAUAGGAGAAUCAAUGAAUACCUUACCAAUCAGAGUUAAACGGCACUCAUUCAAUUUCGCAGGAGUAGGCACAUCGUUCUAGACCUCCAAAUCGUGAGGUGAGCACAAUCUUCCCAAGCGCUUACACAGGGUAGCCAAAUGAGGGGAAUUGGCUUCAUCUGCAUGUGCCAUAUCUACUCUGGAUAGAGUAAGGAGCAAAACCAAACAAUCGAAGAGAAAAUCAGCAACUAGGAAAGCUUGGGUAUGUGAGAAAGGCCAAAUAGAACAGUCGAUAGACCCAAAGGAGGAUUAGAAUCACACAUGCAAGCAACCUAAUGGGAGUCCGAAGAGAGAGAGAAGCAUAGUGAAGCAGAGGCGAAAGGUAGAGAAUGAGAGGCGAAGGAGCAGAGAGUUGGAGGCGGAAAGAUUACAAAGUACAGACAGGCAUCGAGAAUAACAGCUGAUAGAAAAGAGAAUCCAUCGAGGAAAACCAGAUGAAACAAGAAGAUUAGGGUUUAAGAUGCCAUUGAACCGAAGAAGGAAGCUCUGCAUGCGCAAGAGAAAAAGCUAUCCUUGACGGAUAGAGAGAAAAUUCAGUCCUCAAAUUUUUAGUUUUACAAAAUUAGGUUUGAGAAGAGGUAUUUUGAACAAUCAAUUAACUCAAUUUUCCUCUACAUCAAUUCUCUUUGAUUUUCAUCUCCAAAAGAGAGUAAAACUACAAUUUUCUUCUCUAUUUGUUUGCUAUUGGUUCAUUCUUGCUCAUCUUAAAUUACAAUCAGGGAAGAUGUUUCAAUUUGCCUGAUAAGUCAUUUACUUUCUUGAAUUCUUAUUUGUUAUGCGGAUGACAGGUCAUUUCUUUUUCCUUUGCUAUUUUAAGCUCGGUUUGGGAAUUUGAUGACUCGACUUUUUAAUGAAUUAAUUAAGGCAAAUGCAAUAACCUAGGUUUCUCCUUUUUUGUAUCACCUUUGUUUCUUGUAGUUUCGAAGAUUGAGCAAGGACACUGCCAGUUUUACUUCACUUUUGAUGUCAAUGGUUAUAAUUGCAAUUUCAAGCAUUCCCAUUAUUAAAGUUGAAAUUCUACUUCUCCAGCAAUAAUUAUUACCUUUGUUCAUCUAUUUAUGCAGAGUUCCGGAAUGCAAUCAACUAUUCAUGUUGAAUGUCUUCAAGUGUAAUGGUUGGGGAUCUAUAUGAGCAACAAUUAUUACCAGUCGAACUAUUUCUGGCUAAGAGUUGUGUCAUGCUUAGGCAUUCAAUGGCAUAAUGUACUAACCUUACCAUUUGUUUGCAGAAGUACUAUUUUCACUCAUAAUUAGCUUAAUCAAAGUACCUUAUAUAUAUAUUUUUUUUUCAUAGAUCUUGGUCAAUUAGUCAAGUUCAGGGGACCGAAAUUUGAAAGAUCCAUGACUUCCUCUCAUAUUCUUGCGUGUGCUUCUAUUGGCAUCCAAAAUUUGCUUGUUGGGCUUCGAAAAUAGAAGAGAGUAAAGUAUGCCCGACACACAAGAAUUCAUGGGUAGUGAGCCAAAACGCCAAUAGGCGACAACAAAGAUUUCGAACAAUUUGACAUUAGAACUUGCCGAGGCAAGCGAGACAACAAAGGAAGAAGUUACGAGAAUUGGUACCAGCGAAAAUAUCAACAAGGCAAAGUAGUUAUCGAUAAGGAGCCAAAGCUUCCGAAACAUCUUGAAUAUCGAAAUGAUAACCGCUAAAGAGCAUUUACCCAUAAAUUGCCACUAUAAAUGUCACGUCUCAAUCCUCAGACCACGUGCCCAUUCCUCUUGGUCGAUAUAAUUGCGACAUCCUAGGACGCAUGACUGACCCAUUCGUUUUAAUGCACAUGCGGAAACGAUUAAUAAAUCCCCAGACAACAACAAGAUGGGAUAGAAAAGUAGGGCCCAUUUUUCACAAAAUACAUUUUUAUAAAAAUACAGGUUUAUACACAGCAGCCUACAAAAAGGAAUUGAUUUUCAUCAAAAGAGAAUUGUCCUAUGACUAACUAGUCAGACAAGAUCACCGAUUCUUCGGGCUUCACCUUCUAAACUCUGGGCUUCGGGUCCUCCACCGCUAUCAACUAAGGACCUGAAAAUAUUAUCCCACAAUGGGGUGAGAUGACGUCUCAGCAGGUUCAACCUCCUAAAACCCGACUAGGAAGAAAAUAUGCCGAAAGGGCUACCUAAGCACAAUCAUGAGUCAGAGGACUUAUCUUGGCCUCUCUUCCUUGCAAGUCAAUAUAAUUCAAACAACCAUCCAAUCAUCAAUUCCCAAAUCACUUUACCCAACCAGAUCGAAUCAUCGAUUAAUCGACUCAAUUGAUUACAUGUCAUUGAGAUCAUUCCCCAAUCAUCUUAAUCAAUACUAUCUAUAAAGUCCGAUCAUAAUCUAGGACUACUUACUUUAAGCCAAUAAUAGAUAAUAUAUUAUACUGAGAUAAUAUAUUAUACAUAUGCUCGCCAGAAGCUGCCUCAAAUACUGAUAUAGUAUAUUAUAUAUUCUCGCUAGAAGUUGUCAGAUAUAUUUUCAUAGUAUACUGAUAAUAAUAAUGCUUACCAGAAGCUGCUAGAUAUACUCUCAUAGUGUGCUGAAAAUAAUCAUGCUCACCAAAAGCUGCUAGACAUACUCUCAUAGUAUGCUGAAAAUAAUCAUUUAAUCAAACCACAAUUUUUAUCCUUCCCGAUAAAAAUAUUCGUGUGUGGAUACACGGUCGGCUUUAGCCAAAAAUAUAAUAUUUUCAUCUUUGAAAAUUCCACUAAUUUUAAUGGUCCACAAACUCAUUUUUAGCGCUAUAAACCGACGCUCUGUGAUUUUCCAAUUAAUUACUGAAAUUAAAUAAUUUUAUGAAUAAAUUCCCAAAAGCACAAUUCACACACAAUCGGCACAAAAUAACAGUCGAAUAAAUAAACAAAUUACACCAUUACAGUUAGCAUAAAAUUUCGGUCACCGGUUAUUCCGAUCUAAUUUUCGAAAAAUAAUUAAUUAAUUAAUCAAUUACGGAAAAUAAUUAAUAAAUGCAAUAAAUAGUAACUUAGGCCCGUAAACCCUAAUUGGAAGCCGAGACGAGCUCGGAAAAUUUCCGAACCACUCUAGAUACCAGAGCUUGUCUAGGCCCUAAUUGCACUAAAUUAUCCACCUAAUAUGCAUUGAUAAUUAAAUAAUUUACUAAACAGUUCUAAUUAUGCACUAAAUCAAGCUUAAUCUAAACUAAUCAACCCUUAAACGUCAUUAACUUAAUAAGUGACGAUUAGUGAGUUAAACUUACCUAAUUAACGAUUCGCUUGGAUCAAAACGAUGGGGACGUGGCGAGGAACGAAAAGCUCCAAAGCGGUGACGUCAACGGGGCAUGGAUCGGGCCUGAAAAUUGGCCUGAGGAAGCCCAUGACACUACUGGACUUGGCUGAGCUUCAUGAGGGCUUACAGCUUCAAGCGGGCUGAUUUCGAUGGAAGAAAGGGCAGCAAGGAGUCAAUGCCGAAAGUUGCUACAGCUGACUUCGGUUGAACACUUGCUGGGGACGUCUCGACUGCUGGCGUGGACUGGAGAAGAAAACCAAAAUUGCAGAAGCCGGAGUGGUGAGGAGAUGGGCGGCUGGCCGAAGGAAAGAGAGGGGUCGAGGGGGGUGUGUCGGCCAAAAGAAAAGAGAGGAUAAAUAUGACCAAAAGUCAAAGAAAUGGGAAACGUGAGUGGAAAAGAUGGCAGAGGGCUGUCGGCGGUUUUGGGGGGGGGAAUUCGUGCGAGAGAGAGAGAGAGAGAGAGAAAGGAAAAAGGAAGGGGGCAUGCGGCCAAGGGGGAGAAGGAAAAAUAAAAAUUAAAUUAAAUUCCUAAAAUCAAAAUUUCUUGGUCCCACUUGCUCUUGUUUAAUUCAAUUUGGUCCCCAAAAAUCCCCAUGCUAAAGUACAUGAUCCUCACUUGCUUUCUUGUAUCAAAUUUCCUUCAAACUGAGAGUUCUAGUAUGAACACCUAGUGGGGGUGAAUAGGUGUUUAAAAUAAAUCUUGGCAAAUAUAUGCGGAAUAAAAUAAACUUCAAACAAAUGAGUUAGGGAAGAGAAUAAGAACACAGAAAUUAUAGUGGUUCGGCUUAAUCCAAGCCUACGUCCACUCUCCCACGCUAACAGCCUUCUUGGCUGGAUUCCACUAUGCAAUCAACAAGAGAUUACAAUUUCGAGUGCAAACACUUAGUAGUAGAUCACACUAUCUCACUAAGUCACUCCUUUGGUAUUUGUCUCACGAUCACAAACGUUUAAGCUCUCUAAAGACAAGUGCAUGAUCGAAGGUCGCUCAGACUUUGGAAUUAUAAAUUCUACGCUCUAUCUCUUACUUGUUCAUCGGUCCAUGAUCUCCUUAAAUACUCCUCCACUUCCAAACUACCCGUUGGACAGUAUCCCAGAGAAUCGUCUUCCAAUAUACCCAUUGGACAGCUCUGUAUCUUGAAGAUUUGGUAGCCGUUGAGUGACAAAGGUAGAAUCCCAAAUUGAUUCCGAUCGCCCAUACAAACGAAAUCUUGGUUUCCAUAAGUAAAGCCUCUUCGUAUAGAAAGUUCUUGUCUUUAAGAUCCAAUCGUCAAUCAAAUAGAUUGAGUCAAUCAAAUCAAUCUUGAUGUGGAAUCCAAACCAGAUCACUAGCCGUUAUAUGAUUGGGCUUGAAUUACGUUCUGUUGAAUCUGGAUGUAAAGUCUGAUAGCAAUAGACUUUAUAAUCUGAGUCUGAGUGCAAUAGACUUUACAAUCUGGGUCUGAACAUAUUCUACUUCUGAACAGUUUUAGCUUUAAGGUCUGAAUACCCAAUUCAGCUUCAGUAUAGAGUCUGUCUUCUGGUUCAGCUUCAACAUAGAGUCUAUCUUUUGGUUCUUCAUUCACGUUCAGUCUGGAAUUUGUCAGAAUGAGCAGACUUCUGAUGUAGAACAGACUUUGACACUAAAGUCUAGCAGUCUUCAAACUUUGACACAGAAGUCUGGAAAUCUUCAUAAUAUACUUUGGACAUAUGUUACGUUCAGUCUUCUGGCUAUCUUCUGACUUUGAUAAUAUCCUUUACAUGUUCUAUUAUCUGCAUGGUCUAUUACUUAACCAUUAAACAUGUUAGUAGCCUUUGAUUUAUUUUGUCAUCUUCAAAACAUCAUAAAAGGCCCGAAUUAUUCAAUUGAAAAUGAGAUUCAAAAUCCAAGAUGUCACAAUAAAUAGCCGAAGAGGUAUCAAUAGAAAGGACCUUUUCCCAAAUCAACAAUCGAUCAUCUACUUUCAAUUGCUUUGUUUCUUUUAUUGAACUUUUAAUUUGAAUUGUAGUUUUACUUUUCUCCUUUUUUUCCUGCAUUUAUGUUUGCUUGUAAUUUAGAUCAGUUGCUUCCUUUCCGGCAUGACACAGAACCCAUAUUAAAUAAUAAAGUCGAAACUUUGCCCCUUUGGUGAAAGAUUUUGUCGAGGGAAGUUUCCUUGACAAACAUCUUUUUGGCAUGCCUAGUGGGACCAUUGUGUUCCGUUCAUAGGAAGGGUUAAUGGCAAAAACAAGAAAUUAGGAGAGUCACUCCUCGACCAUCAAGGGUAAUUUGUCACCGCAGCACGUUGGAGAGAGAACCACCUGUUCCAAGAUUUCUGGUUAAAAUGUAGACUAUAUUAAUGGUGUCAACAUGGGCAAUCAUUCUAGAGACAUUUCAUGAGAAUUAUCUGAAGAUCAGAGAAGAGAGUUGGCCCUUAAUUCAACGGUAAUGGUCACCAUGAGAAGGAUGUUCGAAGAGCAACAAAAUGAUAUAGCCAAUCAUAUAGCAAAAUGUCUUUGGUGAUGGAGACAUAUUUAUAAUAUAUGUAAGAUAAUUAGGUCGUGGUACUUUCAAUCGUGAUUUAAAUUGUUUUUCCCUGGACAUUUCUAUUUUCUUCUUCAUUCAUUGUCUUGUUUACCAAACUUCACGAUGAUCAUUAUUACUAUUUUAUCUUCGUCGAAAUUUUAGUGGACACAAAUUUCUCAGUAAAGUUUGAUAGACAACCUAUCCGAAGUAUGGGUAAAUGCAUUAGUUAUACAGAACAAAAAAUCGAAAGUGAAUUACCCAAACAAAGCACACAAUUAAGAUAGACCAAAAGACGCCACCGUUGCAUGCACAAUAGACGACAGAGAGGAUGUCUCUUCUAUAAAUAUAUUUGGAGAUUCAAAAUCACCAAUUGUCUAGCACGAUGUAGGACGUGAUGAAAUCGCUUAAAAGAUGUGCAUUGAGGAAAAUGUUAAAGCUAGAAACAUGCGAGUCUCUUGAAGACAAAGCCAGCGAUCGAACUGUAGUAACAGGAGAUCCGGUCCGGGACUUGAAGGCCAAGCCGGCGAGUAUGCCGUUCGUGGAUUGGUGGGUCAUAUCUUGAAGUAUGGUUGUGAGGAUUCAUUCUUCUUAUGUUUCUCAAUUUCACUCUUCAAGUUUCACAUAUUAUCGGUGAACACAAAAUAUAUAGCAAAUAAAAAUAUUAUAUUUAGCCGGGUGAGUAUUGGAGUGUCUAAAUUUUAAAUAUCUUUUUUUUUUCCUUAUUGAAUUUUGAGAUGUCAUUAAUGAUGAAUUAGUUCUCAGAGAUUAACCACUUUUGGUAUAGGUUUUUUUUUUGGCUCUGUAGGCUUAAGAGGAAAAAAUAAAGGGAAGAAAUAAGAUGAUUAAUUACACGGAAAUAACUAUCACAUCUUGCUAGGUGAGUAUAAGGGUGUCUACAUAUCAAAUCAUCUUUUUGUAUCUAUAGAAUUUUGACAAGUUGUCGAUGAUAGAUGAGAUGAUUAAGUAAUUUACCUAGUUUGGCAGUUGGAAGGGUUAAAACCCCUUCUUGAAACUAGCAUACUAGAUGUGUAAGCUCUUUAAUGACUCUUCUUCAAUGAGUGGUCUCAUUGCAUUGAGCUCAACUUGAUCACUGUCUUACUCUUGAAGUUUCGCCUUAGUGUCCCAGACACCCCUAUCCAGGCUUGGGCAUGAUAUUUUUUGCUUUGGUCACAACUCACCCACGCUUACUUUAAGUGCUACAGGUCGUAUUUAGGCAAAAUGGGAUUAGAGACAUACAUAAAAGCCAACAUUCCCACUCUUAAAGUCAUGCAAGAUUUACCUACAAGCACAAUAGCCCAUAUGGAGGUAAGUGGGAACAAUUAAAUAUCGGAAACCUAACAUCGCCACCUUGGCCUAAUACACCACUAUAGGUAGCCUCAUUGGAGGGUAAACAUGAUAUUAUUUGCUCUGGUCGUUGCUAUUGAUAUUCAAAUUUUUAUCAACGUUUUAGGUAUCCAUUUAUAUUACAAAAAUCUGAAAAUUUAUAAAAAAUAAUAAUAACAAAAAAAUAAAAAAGAUAUUAAAAAAAGCGAAAUGAAGUCGUGUGGGCCGGCCCCUUAGCAAAGUUUUCAGCCUUCUAAGCCCCCUCCCCUCCCUCCAUUAGUCCAACCCAUUUCUUUUAAUUCUUUGGGCCCAUCUCUUCAUUUCCUUUUUAGCCCAUCUCCUUUUGUCUUUCCUUGGCCCAUCAUAUAACCAAACACAAAGGAAGCCCAGCCCCAUCCUCCCUCUUCCCUCACGCGCGCUUCCCCCUCAACUUCCCCAGCGAGCACAGCGUCUGUGACGCAAGGAAGAAAGACAGGCCAAGCGUGCGUGCGUCUGUGAGCGAAGGAGGCGCGACAAGCCGUGACGAGAGCUGAGCCAGCACCUUCUAGAGCCGUGCUAGCUGGCGUGCGAGAGAAAUAACACAAAGAUUCGAUCGGUGAGGCGAGGGGAGCGUGCUGAUCCGAGAGAAAAUGAUGCUCGCCUCAAGAGGAUCCUGUUCGCAUAACAGGAGGAGAAGAGACGCCGCCGGAUUUCGGAGAGGGCGGCCGUCGAAGAGGCAAGUUGCAGAGAGAUAAGCUGAAGAGAGAUUCACGGGGGAGAAAGAGAGUCAGCCGAGAGCGAGAAGGAGAGGAUGGCUGGACGCUCGCUUGAAAAAGGAUUUGGCCAUCGAAGAGCUCGGCCGAAGGGAACCAAGGAGGAUAGGAAUCGGCACUACCCCUGCCAGGUCGUUUCUAUUCCGAUCGACCGUUAGAGUCGAUUACGUGUUCAGAAUCUCCUCAUCGCUCUGCUCCAUUGUUCGGGAUCUGUGUCCGUCCACCUUCGAACCGAGAUAUAGGAGAGCGAAGCUGUCUGAAGCAGGUUCGCGAGUUUCGUUUCAGUCGAAGGGAGAAUCCUCGGGAUUUUAUUGAUCUCGAUUAGUUGAAAUUAAAAAAUUAGUCUUGCCGAGAGUCCUUCAUGACCUGUUUGAUGUUUUGUGUAGAUGUCUUCAACGUUGAUUUGUUCCUGUUACUGGUCAAUCCGUGAGCAUUUUAGUAUGAGUCUCGGAAAAGUUAUUCCAUAAAAUUGGAAGAGAGUAGGAGUAGGAAUGGAAUAGCUAAUUUGUAGUUUGGUUUGUAUAAUGGAUUCAAAAAAUUCUCUGGUUUGUUUUGCCAUGAUAUUAGGGAGAAUAUGUUUGGAAUAGUGUAUACCCAAAAUACCCUUUGAUGAUAUAUAUCAAACUCUAAUUUCUUUUAUUAUCAUAUUUACAUAGGACAUAAACGAAAGCCUACUAUAAUUUCUAAAUAAUUGCAAUAUUUGAAUUUCUAAUGAAAGUAACCCUUAUUUUAUUAAUUGAUAUAAUUAAACCAUAAUAUAAUUACUAAAAAAAUAAAUGAACUAAUUAUUAAACAAUAGUAUAAUUACUAAAUAGAUAACUAUUAUUUUUAUAACUACCUUUCGAGUCAAGCCAAUACAAUAAGGCCAAGCUCAAGCUCAACUCCUAUUAGAUAUCCGAUGCUCGGAGUUCUGCUUGAGCUUUGCAACUCAAAUUUUUAAAGAAAAAAGUACCAAAAUAUUAUUAAUAAUAAACAAAGUAAUUGCAGAAAAAUAAUAAAACACGGAUCGACUGUCCAAUGAUAUAUUUCUGAAGCACCAAAAGUCCUCAAGGCUGGGGCCAACCAGUCCAUCAAAUGUUUGUCGGGCCACAGUCGGCCAAUUAGGCCCAUGGGCUUGAUUGGACCUACGCUCACAAUGGGGUUGGGCAACACGGCCAACAAGGCCCUAAAGUAAUUAUAACUUGAGUGUUUAAUCUAGCGUUAAUCAACAUAAAAUGCUACAAUGUACAUUUUCUCCAUCAAAGUAAAUUAGUGUGACAUGUAUCCAUAUCGUACUAAUAAAAAAGUCUAAGUUUAAGUUGUUUCUUUCCUUUCAUAUUCGGAAAUUGCUUUCCUUAAUUAUUAAAAGUCAAUAUCUAAGGGCCACAGUUCUAGAAUUUCAAACUUUACGUUCAUUAUUCAUUCCCUUUGAAUUAGACCACGCUUUUAUUUGACUUUCCGUGAUGGUGGCCAAAGAUAUCUCCUCGUCUUCUAAUUUAAUGUAGUUGGAGCACGCUCAUGACAACAACAUCACACCACAUUCCUGGAAAGUUAAAAUUCAAUGUAACAAUAAUGUCACUCGAAAUCGUCUAAUUAACCCCGUGUUCUAAGGAUGUUCGGAUCUUGAUUUGGCUAAUUAAUUGCAAUCUUAAGUAAUUUAAUAAGGAUUCCACCUAAUUUUGAUCCGAGUAAUGCGGGGAAUUGACCAUAAAUGAUGGGACAUUUGAACAAACAUAUGAAUAUGAUCCAAUCCAGAAAAAUAUCAGCUUUUUCCCGACGUCCAUCCCUAUCAGGAAAAUUUACUUAUGGUGGACAUAGAAAUGGUUCCUCGUAUUUUAUUUACGAAUUAAAGUUUUUGGAUGGUGGAUAUAAAGUAAGUAAUUUAGGCUAGAUUUCGUGUUGUGUACAGGCAAGAUAUUGACUUUCUACAGAAUACCCACCGCACAUUUGGAUGGAAUAUAGAUAUUAGAGCAUGCUUAUAUUUGACUUUGCGUGAUGGUGGCCAAAUAUAUCCUCAUCAAUCUAAUUUAAUAUAAUUGGAGCGCGUUCAUGACAACAUUACACUACAUUACUGGGAAAAUUAAAAUUCACUGUAAAACAAUAAUGUCACUUGAAAAUGUCAAAUUGACCCCAUGCUAUAAGGAUAUUCGGAUCUUAAUUUGGCUAGCAACUUGCAAUCUUAAGGAAUUUAAUAACGAUUCCACCUGAUUUUGAUCCGUGUAAUGCGGUGAAUUGAUGAUAGAUGAUGGGACAUUGGAACAAAAUAUGAAUAUGAUCCGAUCAACAAAAAGAUCAACUCCUUCCCAUUCCAUUGCAUUUGCCUUCUUUACAAGACUGUUGAUUUCUUUCUCAAUAUCAGCAAACUUCAUCUCAUCAGCAUUUCGAAUUUACUGGAACAACCAGACCCCACGUGAAAGAAAACGAAUUAAUUUAAACCACAAUCUCAUUAGAGUCUACGUACCUGAUAAUCAAAAGACAAAUCCCUAUACCUGCCUUGCUUAGAGAAAAAUAUCAUGGCAAGGAUCGCAAAUUUCUAUAGCUAUUCAGUCAUUUUCUGGAGACAAAGGAUGGAAAUAGUUUCUUACCUUUACCAAAAAAAAAAAAGAGAGAGAUGGAAAUAGCAUAAUCUCGCCCCUCGAUCAUCAAAUAUCUCGAUCAGUAGUGUUUUAGGGGGGAAAAGGGUUGUUGAUGCUAGAAAAUCGCGACAUUAGCUUAUCACUUCUCACAUUUAAUGUCCUUGGAAUGAUGGAGGCAUCCAAAAUCAAAGAAUGAGAAUCGUCGCUCUAAAUCCUUGGUCUCCAUCUUGGUGAUUUUCUACAGCUUAGGAAGACCGCUGGUGGAAAUCAUAAUAUGUUUAAGAAACAUUGAUGAGAGUGUAAGACAAGUUUAAACCAGGAGCUUGUGCUCCAUAUUAGUCGUUGCUAAGCAAAUGAAAGGAAACCUCUUCGUCAUGGUGAGAGCAAGGGUGAAUCACUACUUGUCAAAGCAUGAAGAUCUACGUUCUUUAGCCCAUAUAGAGAAGAAAGAAUAAAUAAAAGGGAAAAAUCCUCAAAAAUCCCAAACUUCACCCAUGUGAUAUAUUUAUCCAAUUCUUUUUUUUUUUUGGUGACUCCAAAAAUCUUAAACUUAUAUUUCUAUGACAUAUUUACCUCAAACCUUUUUUUUUGUGAUACCAAAAUCCCCAAACUUUUUUUUUGUGACACCAAAUUUUAAGGAUAAAUGUGGCAUAUGAAUACAAAAUUAUGAUUUUUUAUAUCAUAAGAAGAAGUUUGGGAUAGAUAUGUCCCACUAUAUAAAUUUGGGGAUAAAUAUGUUACAUAAAUACAAAUUUGGGAUUCUUAUUGUAAAAAAAAAAGUUUGGUGUUAAUAUGUCACAGUGAACAUAAUUUAAGAUUUUUGGUGAUUUUUUUUUUCUUUUAAUAAAACAAGCACUUAAUAGUGGGCAACAUACGCAAUGUGAUUGCAAGCAUGGGAUAGAGACUCGAUGCUGGAUGUUUUUUGGUCAUACGGAUCAACCGUCCAAAAUCGACUUAUUAUUCUAAAGGGUUUUCCUUCAUCUUGGACGUCACAUAGGAAUUUUUACACUAGGAAGAAGCUGAGAUGGUCUAAAGGUUUAAUUCAACCAUUGAGGUUUAAUUAAACCAUCCUUUGAAGAUAUGAUACUGGAAAAAAAAAAUCCGCAUAUCAUAAAAUGAAAAGUACCCGGACUCUAUAAAAAAAACACCCGGACUCUCAAAAAACCAGUACUCUUCCCUCAGUCUCUCGCCCUCGCCAAUCGGUCACCCCAAGCCUCCGCCACCUCGCCGCUACAUCACAGUCGACAUCGUAUCCCCUUCCCGUGCCGUCACCCCUCGCCGUCAACGUCGUAUCCCUUCUCGUGCCAUCACCUGUCGCCGUCGAGCCCCCCGGCCAUCGCCUGCGCCGAUCGUUUCGCAUCCCGUCUCGGCCAAGCCACCAUCUCUGUCCCCGACUCUCUCUCCUCGAGGCAGCCUCGCUCGCGCGGCCGUGGGCAACACCAGAUUUGAAGGUGAAAAGUGAUGCACAGCUCUCUCUCUCUCUCUCUCUCUCUCUCUCUCUCUCUCUCUCUGUCUCUCUCUCUCUCUCUCUCCUUCCGUGUUUCCUCUUCGAAGCAAUUAUUUUGUCGAUCUGAGAAGGAAGGCUGCAGGUAACUUCCAGGCGAACGCAGCGAAAGUGAGAGAUCUCUCUCCGUUGCGUCAUCAAGUUGCUACGUGGAUCAGACUCGGACUUCUCAAGUCACCGGGCAGACCCAAUUCGGAGAUCCAUUUCUGCAUCGUCCUCACAGAAUGAAGAGAAAGAGGGAGGAAAAAGAGACGGCAACAGCAGCUUCAACAAGCAGUAGCCGUGAUGAUGGAUCGGGGAGUGGCUACGAGGUGUUCCUGAAUUUCAGAGGUCCCGACACCCGUUUAACCAUGGCUGAUUGUCUCUACAAUGGCCUGAUUGGUGCAGGGAUCCGUGCUUUCAAAGACAAUGAAGAGCUCCGAUUUGGCGAAGAGAUCGAAGGUGGCCUCUUACAAGCGAUCAAUGACUCUAGAAUUUACAUCCCGAUAUUCUCCAAGGACUACGCUUCAAGUAAGUGGUGCCUUCGUGAAGUGGCACGCAUAGUGGAGCUAGUGAGAGCUAACAAUGAGAAAGUGAUCCUCCCUAUAUUUUACGACGUGGAUGUGGAUGAUGUCAAGCUUAAGACUAAGUUAUAUCGGAAAGCCCUUCGGAAACACAAGAGCAACUACGGGAAGGAUUUAGUAAAGAAGUGGAAGAAGGCGUUAAGAGAGGUUGCUAGUCAUAGAGGAAGGAAGCUAAAAGAUCACGGGUAUUAUUUGCUUCUCCAUUGACUUUAUUUUCUUUGUUGAAAUUUUCGAUUUCUCGUUCCUUUAAAGAAUAGUUCGUCGAUUGCUACUGUCCAACCUUGUGCAACAUAUGUUUCCAUUUGACGCAAUGAGGGAGCUAGAAAUUUUGCUCAGAGGGCGAGGCUUCUUGCACAAAUUGACUUUUCACUUUUUUAAUAUCAAAUUUUUAUAACAAUUAAAGUUAAGGCAUAGAAACUUAAUUAAUUAAUAUAUAAUGCAAAAAAAAACCAAGAUAUCCGUGAAGAUCUAAGAUGUGAUAAAAUAGUAAGACCAUAUAUUUGUGAAAAAUAAAAAAUCUAAGUUUCUUAACUUCAAUUGCAUUGCGUAUAUGAAUUUAAGGACUUUUGGUGUAAAUUCCUUGACCUAUGCCUAUAAUGUUUUCCUGAAAAAUUAGAUUGAGUUUGAUGUUAGAUCUUUUUGUUUUUGUUACAUUAAGUAAGCAUAGAGAAAUUAUAGCAUAGACUUAGUCUAUCGCAGUCCAUACGAUAUCCAAAAACUUACGGCCAAGAGGAAAAAACUGAUCCUUGUGGUUUUGGUUUCAGCCCUAGGGAAUUCAUAUGCUUUGCUGUUGUUUUCCUUGAAAUAACCGGCUAAUUACGGUCGCACCACCGAGUCACACAAAAAUAAUGGAGAUUUUUAUGAUGAUAGUUUCAUAACCCCAUAAGAGGAUACUAUAGGUCAUGGUUUUCUUAUUUGGUUUGAGUAUACAAGACCGAACAUUGCAAAGAUCUUUGUAUGCCAUUAUCCAAAAGAACCCAAAAAAAAAGGAUCUCUGUAAGUGUUAGAGGUUCAAUCUUCCUGUAUUUCUUAUUAGAGUAAUUCUUGAUUAAUUUGCAAAGGAUUCACUUAGGUUCAGGUGUGUUAUCAAUCUUGGGCUUUUGUUUUCAUUGUGGUGGGGCAGGUAUCAUAGGCUCCUCUAGUGGCCAGUUGUACAUAGACAAGAUCUGCAACCUUAAACUGAAUAUUCUUCUAUAGUGAUUUAUAGUAGAAUGCUAAAACAUAAAAAUUGGUUCUUGCUGUUGCUUUAAACAUGGACCUAUUCAUGGCCUCAUGUCUUGAUUAACCAAAAAUUCACCUAAGGGACUUCCAAGUAGUUGUAGUUAUGGUUGGAGAAAUCUAAAAGCCUCUAGAAAAUGGAUAAGUACUUAAACAAUUGUAAGUUACCUUGAGAUAUGGAGCUACCCUCUAUCCUAGUUUGCAAUAGUUUUUCUAUAAACCCUAGCCGUUACUCUCUGCUUACUUACAUCCUUCUUCAUUAAACCUUACCGAUUCUAUCUUUCAUUAAACGCAUUAAUAGUUUCAAUCCUCAAGAACGGGAAGGGCUAUCCUAUUACUGCCAUGCCCAACAGGCUAUCCUAUUACUGCCCAUGCCCAACUUAUGUCGUGCAACAUUCUCAAGGAAGCAAUUGUUUUGAGAAAAAUUUUCCUAAAAAAAAUUGCCUCAUCCAAGGUAGGCCACUGUAGGGCGCAGAUUUCCCAUGUUCCAUGCCCAUCCAUAAUUUUAAAGUUAUCGGUUUUUAUAUGAAAUUAUCAACUUUAAUUCGUGUCUAAACAACUUCUUUUUCCAUUGUUUUACAAACAAGUUUUAGCUUACCGGCUUUUAUGUGAAUCAUUUACUAAGUUUAUUAGAUUGUUUGCCAAUUUACAACUUCUGUAAAACUCACCAUAUUGUUUACUCCACAUUUCAAAAUUACCAAAUUUUGUACCGAAUUACUAACUCUAAUAUGAUUGUCAUAUUAACUAAUCUCUAAUUAAGUUAAUAACUAGUUUAAUUCUACCCAUUCUUAUUUGAGCUACUUAUCAGUAGUUAUUAUUUGUUUCAAAACUACCAACCUUCAUAAAACUUUCGUUAAUAACGCACAACCUUUUAUUUGCACUGGUUAUGAACAUCAUUAGGGAACGAAAUCUGUUUUUGAAUUACCAAUCCUAAGUUGAGUUACUCACCAGUUUAUUCUGAUUAAAGUACCAACUAGUUUGCCCUUACCAAAAUUAUUCGGAGAAAUGUUUGUUGGUAACUCGAAUCAAGGUUGAUAUAUAUUCCAGAAAAUCUUCCUCAUUUUCGGUUAGUAUUCUACUCUAUCGGUACAUUAAGAAAAAUGCUUUUGAGAUAGUAUUCUUGUUUCUGAUUUUCAAGGCAACUGCGAGUGAGAUUUUUUCUUUUCCGUUAACCUUCAAACUCAUCCCUAUUGCUUGAAGAGAUUAACAAGACCGAGUUUACCGAGGACUUGAUAUUUAGCCAAACUUCUAGAGGUCUCGUUAUUAGCUGUGUGUGACAAGAAGAAACCAACCGGUGUGAAAAAGUAUAAAAUGAAGUGGAGGCAUCACUAUCAAAUUAGUCCUAAAUUUAUUAUGCAUGACAUUUGAGUACUAGACAUUUUAAUUUUGUCAAUGUGGUCAUAGGUAUUUGCAUGAAAUUUUAAUGUUAUCUUUCUAUCCAAUUGCCAUGAGAAAUUACUAACAUGACGUCCAUUCAUUGCCGUUGUCCUAUGUGGCAAGCUGACAUGGACAAUUUUACUUGAAAUGACAUCUUGUAGAUUGCCACUUUAGCAAUUUUCGAUGGACAUUGACUGGAAGGACUACAUUGAAAUUUUGUAUAAAGGUUUAAGACAAAAUUAUUGAAAUUGAAAAGUUUAUGACUGAAUUAACAUUUGUACAAUAAAUUUAAGACUCAUUUCAUAAUUUUCCCAUAAAAUGGAACAAAGGUCCACAACCAAUUCCAACACAAUGACUCACGGCACUAGUUAGUCACAAUUUGCCAAAGUAACUUCUAAUUGAAGCCCAAUUAGACCCUUGUCACGAAAUAACCUUUUCACAUCAUUGACUAAACCAAAGAACCUUGAUAGCAUUAGCUUCAACCACGAAUAAAGUCCCUCCUCCUCCUCCUCUCUUGAAAACAUCUAUUUUUUUUUUCAAAUGGCUCACAGCUUGAGAGAUCGCUUUUUUGUGUCUUCUGUUUAAGCAAUUAUUUUGAACUUGAUGAUAACCUUCUAGUGCCACGUAAUGUGUGCACAAUUUCCAUAUAUAUGGUUUUUCAAUCUGAGAUGAUUGCAUGUUAUGCAUGUGGCAGCCUAUAUGAACUAAUGAAUCUCACAGUCAAAGAGGUUUCUAGUUUGUUAUGGACAAGAAGGACAGGUGUGCCUGAUCAUUUGGUGGGAAUUAAAGAUCGAGCGGAAGAAAUCUUGAAGCGGUUAGAUCUAGAAGCUUUUGAUGUACGGUUUAUCGUGAUUUAUGGUAUGGGUGGCAUUGGAAAAACGACACUAGCUGAGGCUGUCUUCAGACAAAUCUCCCCUCAGUUUCAGAGACAUUGUGUCUUUCUUAAGGAUGUUUGGACUCAUGAUAUAAUAAACUUACAAAAGAAAUUGUUGUCCGACAUUUUCCAUUUGAGUUGCACAAACUUAUCCUUCAUUGAUGAAGGCGCUGACAUGAUCAAGACGAGAUUUCAUGACAAGAAAGUUCUCAUUGUUCUUGAUGACAUAGACAAUCGAGACCAAAUCAUGAGACUUGCCGGUGAGCCUAACUGGUUUGGUGGGGGUAGUAGAAUCAUCAUAACAACAAGAAAUAUUGAAUUCCUGGUAAAGGAAGGUGAGGAUGACAAUCUCCCAAUCUCUAAUAGCAGACAAUUUUCAUUCUAUGAUAUGCCGGAGAUGAAUUCACAUGAUGCUCUUCAACUUUUCUGUGAGCGUGCCCUGGGACGUGCCAAGCCUCCGCCUAGUUACAUGGAUAUCACAAAAAAGCUAGUCAAUGCAUUAGGAGGACUUCCAUUGGCUCUCAAUGUCAUAGGUUCCACACUCCAGGGAAAAUGCCAAAGAACAUGGGAAGACACCUUAUGUAAGUUAAAGAAGGUGAUGAAUGCGCAUGUCAAGAAGAAGUUGAUGAUAAGCUACGAAGCAUUGGAAAUUAAUCAACGGCAAAUUUUUCUUGAUAUCGCAUGUUUCUGCUUCAACAAAGAGAAAACAACCGCAGUUAAAUAUUGGGACGCAAUUUUUGGGUAUCCGACUGAAAUCGAGGUUAAUAUCCUCAAACAUAUGUCUCUAAUAAAAAUAUCCUAUGAUAAUAAACUAUGGAUGCACGACCAACUUAGAGACCUUGGAAGGAGUAUCGUCCAUCCAGAAAGUGGCGAAAUCCAUAUGAAGGGUAGCAGAUUGUGGUCUCCCAACGAUGCCUUUCAUGUAGUGCAGACAGAAACGGUAAUCUUGACCUCUAAAUGUUUUCCAGUAAAUGCAUUAGCAUCACCACCUUUUUAUCUAAUUUCAAGUCAAGGUGACAUAUGUACUCAUUGGUUGCUACUUUUUUUUUCCAGGGAACCAAAGACACAGUGGCCCUCAAUCUCGGUACACCAAGCCCAAAUAAGACGUACAGAUUUAAGCGUGAGCAAUUUAUGGGCUUGGUCAACCUUAGGUUCCUUCAAUUGGACCAUGGAAAUUUUGAAGGAGACUUUAAGAAUGUUUUCUUUAAUCUGAGAUGGCUCUCUUGGAGCAAUUGCCCUUCAAAAUUCCGAGCUAGCAACUUUGGGUUGAAGAACUUAACGAUUCUCACGUUAUCUGGGAAUAACGUUACUGAAGAUUGGGGAGGAUGGUGUCAAAUCAUGGUAUGAUCUCACAACAUCCUUUUGCAUUAUAUUCACUCUUCCUAUUUUAUGAGUGUCUACUCAAUUACUUUAUAGGUAGCAGAACAAUUGAAAAUCCUACAGCUCGAGGACUGUCCAUUCCUUAGAAAGAUGCCCAAGUUCUCCACAAUCUCAAAGCUGGAGAGAUUGAUUCUUAGAUGCGUUCGACUAAGAAAGAUUGACAAGUCCAUCAGCAAUCUACAAAAUCUUGAUUACCUAGAGAUAAAGAGUGAAGCUAUUGAGUCGCCACCAGAGUCCAUCGGCGGUCUAAAAUCUUUGACGGUGCUAAGAAUAGAGCAGACACCCUCAAGGAAGCCUCACUCGAUUGGCAAUUUAGCAAAGGUGAAGUCUCUAAUCUUGCCACACCAAGAACAUCAAAAGCUUCCCGACUCUAUCGGACAAUUGGAGUCACUACUUGAGCUAAAUGUCCAAUAUUUAAAAAUUAGUGAAUUACCUCAUUCUAUUGGAAAUCUUGAAAGGUCAAAAGUUUUACGCAUCUGGAAUUCCUAUCUAGAAAAGCUACCAAACUCGAUUAGGAGGCUCCAAUCAUUGGUCAAGUUGGAUUUGAGAGAUUCAAGAAUCGAGAGCUUACCUGAUUGUAUUGGAAAUCUCAAAAAGUUGAAGGUACUAAAUCUCCAUGAUAGUUGCAUAAGUGAACUUCCAAAAACCAUAGGAAUGUUGGAAAAUCUAGAAGAGUUAGAUGCCUCCUCUGAACACCUGGUGGGGGAAAUUCCAAAUGAAAUCGGGGCACUAUCCUCAUUGAAAUAUCUAGACUUAUGCAACGGUCGCUUUAGUGGAUUGCCCACAACGAUCAAUCAGCUUACAAAUCUCCAACGACUUAAUUUAUGGCACUGUAAUUCAAUCCAACAGCUGCCGGAGCUUCCCAAGAGUCUAAAGUUUUUAACCCUUACAUCGAAUUCGCUGACCACGAUCCCCGACUGCUUAAACCUAACCAAUUUAGUUGACCUUAUGAUAAUUGGAUAUUCAAUUGAAGAACCCAACAUAGAGGGGAUCGUGAGACUACCUGCUCUGGAAAAAAUGGUCCUCCGCGUUGGAAAAAUGGCCUUGCCUCCAAUUGAUUUUAGUUCCCUCUCUCAACUACAAUGCCUCACCAUAAAUUAUGAUGAGCCCCAAUCUCUUAUUGGGCUCCCAUCCGGCCUUCAAUAUUUGUGGUUAUGCGAUGUCGAGUCACCGAUAGAUUGGUCAAUCUUUUCCAACUUGGAGAAUUUGUCGAACUUGUAUAUUGUUCGAUAUUCGCUGAGAGAGAUUCGAUUCGAGGUGCUUGGAGAGCUACGGAAAUUCAAACAAUUGCAGAUGCUUGAUUGUCCAUUGCUCAAGACGCUGCCCGUUCUUCCUUGUUUGAAGGAGAUCCAGUUUUUUUCCCUGUGCCAAUUGCCUCAACUAAUUGAGAUUCAGGGUUUGGGAGAAUUGAAAUCUUUACAGGAUUUGUCUAUCUGGUUUUGCAAUUCAAUCAAAAGGUUAAACGAAUCUGAUCUUUCUAAUCUACAAAAUCUGAAAUAUUUGUGGUUCUGGGGAUGUGAAUCAUUGGAGAGGGUGCUGGGUGUGCCAAAAUCUUGUCAACUCAUUGUCGAUGAUUGCCCGAGGUUCAAUGGAGAUGGAUAAGAUAUGUAUCAUUUGAUUGGCAAAGAUAGUCGAUGAUGGUAAGUCCAUAAAACUAGCGUUUGUUUUUUGUUGUGUCCUAUUUUGUGAGUUUUCCUUCAACUAAACUUUCAUCUUGGUUUUGGAAACACCUCUUGCAUUCGUUCAUCCUGUUGUCUCUCAAGGAAAAUCCUCUUCCAUGUAUCAUGAACGUGUGAUACUUUGACUUGCCUCGACUUGAUGAUGGUGAUACUUAGCUGGUUUACGUUGUGCACUAGUAGAACGUCGGAAUUGACAUGCUUUGCGGCACCUAUUUUGCUUAGAAAAAAAUGGAUAAAGUGGAAGGGAACUUUUAGAUAGUAAGCACACUAAAGAUGCUGAUGAAUGCUAGGUUUUGUUGUAAGGCUGAGGUGGUUGAGACUUGAGAGUACUGGUCUCACCUUAUGGAGUGUUUUUAAUAUAAGUAAAGAACAAUCAUGAUUUGUGAGGACUAAAAUAAAGGAAUUAAUGCUUGGUUAGUGGAAGAGUGAAUCGUUGAUACCUAUUAUGCAAUAUGAGUGAUUUAGUUAUUUCCUUCAUGAAGAAUUGGAGGUGUUUUUCUGGUUACUUAUGAACUGAAGUGGAGAAGCUUCAAGUCUUGAGUCAUGGUGUGAUUUGUGAACUAUCUUUCUUCAUUCUAGUAUUUAGCCAUUUAUGCGUGAAAUUCGUGCUGUGAGACAAUUGAUAUUGGAGUAAACUUGUCGAUAUGGUCAAACCACCAUUUCUUUGAAGACUAGGUUUAGUUGCAUCGAGUUGUGCAUUAUGCAAUUUCUGGUGUUAGGAAAGAGCACAUUUGUGUUGUUGAAGACUAGGGUUUGUUUAUUCUUUAAGUUGACUUAUUGCACCUUUCCUCAUCUCUCUCUCCCUCUUUUUAUGCUUAUAAUGUGGUUACUGUUAACUUGUUAAAUAAACUUGUUUGUUCUUUGUGUCUAUCAUUUUUACAUUUACUGAUAAAACAUUUUUGCACAAGCUCCUCCAAGACUAUGGUGAAAUGUUCUUUUACAUGGAUGUCUAGGCUUUGGCAAGACAUAUUGUCGAUGCUACAGCAACGACUUGUUCUCUUCAAUCCAUAUCAGAAAAAGGGCGAGCUGUGGCUAAGUACACUAGUACAUUUUAGCUAUCUGUAAGAGGCUUCUUUUCAACUACAUUGAUGUUUAUUAAGUUCCCUUAUGCAAUCUUCUAUUGAACUCUGUUAUUUCCAUACAUUUCACAAUUUUGUGCUUUCUUCUUUUGCUUUGGAUGCAUUUAAUAGAGGUCCCUUCAUCUAUGCCAAUAGUCGAUAUAUGAAACUAGCAGCAGCAAUGAGGAUCCUACCACCGCAGCCAAGAUGUUCUAAUUAUAUUAUUUUAAACAAUAGCAAUGAGGAUUCUCCCAUAAUGAAGAGGCCAAGUUAAAAUGGUUCUUGAGUUUUCUCAUGCAUGAAUGAGAGAAUCCUCUAUGAAGAUGAAAAGAAAGAUUAAGAUGUAAGACAUUUGAAGUUUUUCUCUACUAGAAAUUUGAAAUUUGUGAUCAAAUGUCUAUUGGAUCAUCUGUUAUGUAAAUUGACAGCAUUGAUUUUGUGAGCAAACUAGAGGAAUUUUGAAUAUUUGAGAGUAAUGGCAAAUUUAAAAUUACAGGUUUGGAUAUAUUCGCGAAGGUAACGGCUGUAGCACCUUGCCUUCACUUUUUUCAUGAAUUUGAUUACAUUGUACUGAAGAGGGAGCAUGAUAGUACGGGGGUCACUGACCAUGUCAUCAAUCAGUUAGUUUCUUGCGUUCAAUGGCACUUAUAAAGUGGUCAUGUGAAAUAUAGUUGAUGGUAUGACUCACUAAUGAUAUGUUAUUCAUUGGUGCAAUUUUUUACUGAAUCAAAUGGUGUUGAAGUUUUAAGCGGUGUGUUUGUGUCGAUAGGGACAAGGUAAUAAUUUCUUCUUACAUGGUAACAAAAAGUACUCUCUUCCAUAGCACACUAACCGUAAAUUGUUGUUGGAAAUUGCAUGGUCAUUAUGAAUGCUUUGCCAAAAAAUUUCUAUGAAGCAUUUAAUAUGGAGACUAUGUAAUAACCUUCAAGAAAGACUAUAAAAUGAUAGACAUGACUUUUCCUUGAUUUAGAGUUGUUUAACUUUGGAUACACAAUAUUUGAUAAACUACAUAUGUACCAAAGAAGGUGACAAAUGGCUAGAUUAAUUGAAUUACUUUUCAGUUGCUAAAGUAGCUUACAAGAAGUGUAUUAAACUGGUCUUGAACCUCUUCAACAGCUUCAACAGAUGUCGAUCAUUUCAGUUUUGAGUGUGCCAAAAUCUUGUGAACUCAUCAUCAUUGACUGCCCAAAGCUCAAUAGAGAUGGAUAAGGUAUGUAUCAUUUGAUUGACAAAGAUAGUUGAUGAUGGUAAGUGUCACGCCCCGAUCCUUUUGGGCACGCACACAUCCUUCUACUUGGUCGAUUUUUAUAAUGCGAUAUCCCAGGACUAAUUAUCGCCGACCCUUUCGUUUAUUAAGCACAUGCGGAAGCCAUUUUAAAUCCCCAGACAAUAAAACAAUGGGAUAGAAAAGUAAGGCAAUAUUUCUCAUAUUGAAAUCCUUGACCAAACCUUUAUACAUGGCAUAACUCAAAGUCUAUUCACUAAACAUGAUUAAGAAAAGAGGAUAGGAUCUUAGUUCUCAUCCAGGUCGUACUCGGACCAUCAUCGAGGUUCUCCUCCAGACACUCCUCUUCGGUUUCUUUCUCCUCAGGCUCCUCAUCAGGGUCCUGAAAUGUUGUCCCACAACCGGGAUGAGACUAUGUCUCAGCAAGUUCUACCCCACUAAGACUCGAUUAGGAAACCAAUAUGCUAACCGGGCUGCCUAUACACGCACGGGUCAGAGGACUUACCUUGGCCUCAUAUUCCACCUGCAUAUUAGCACAAUUCAAUAGGCACCAAAGCAAUUACAUCACAGAUCAAUAUCUCGAUCCAUCGACCUAGUCGAUUUCAUGUCAAUUCGACUAUUCCCCAGUCGUUUCCCUUAUUCAGUCUCAAAUCAUACCCAUGACUUCACGAGCAUAGUCUACCAAAUUUCUUGGCAACAAAUUACAGUCCCAAAGAACACGACCUAUCUUUAGGUAGCAUAUUACGGCCUUAUCAGGCGCGACCUUUAAUGGUGGCAAAUUAUGGCCUUAUCAGGCGCGACCUUUAAUGGUGGCAGAUUACGGCCUUAUCAGGCGCGACCCAUAUCGGGUGGCAGAUUACGGCCUUAUCAGGCGCGACCCAUAUUAGGUGGCAGAUUACGGCCCAACGGGCGCGACCCAUAUUAGGUGGCAAUUUACGGCCCAACGGGUGCGACCGAUUCCAAAUUCAGUGGCAGAACUCGGCCAUACUCACAACCUUUCACAGUCAAAUUCUAAUUGAAUACCGACACUGAUCGAUUUUGGGAUAAUUCCUCAAAUUGCACAAUUAAUUCAAUUUAGCACAAUGUAGAGCUCAAAUAAAUAAACGGACUGCACCAUGACAAUCAGCACCAAAUUUCGAUCGUCGGCUAUCAUCGCCUAAUUUCCGAAAAAUAAAUAAUUAAAUAAUUAAUUUCGAAAUUAAUAAUUAAAUACUAAAUAUCCAAUUUAGGCCCGUAAUGCCUAACUGAAGCCCAAUAAGGGUCGGGAAAAAUCCCGAGAUGCAUUCAAUAAAUAAUAGUACGUCUCUACUUGCUAAUGACUAAGUCUAACCACCUAACAUGCAUCACUAAGUCACUAAUUUAUUUUUUCUAAACUAAUCUAACCACCUAAUUGCACUUAAUUAAAUCUAAUCAACCCUUAAGCAUCAUUAAUUUACUAAGCGAGGAUUAGUGAGAUUACUCACUUGAUUAAAAGCGGAGACCGGGACACCGCGACGGUUACGCGACGGCGGCCGAAAUCGGACUUUCGACAACACCGGCGGGCUUGGACCGGGCCUUAAACUUGGCCCAACAAAUCUCAGCCCAACUAAGAUUUGUUCUCGUACUGGACUGGGCUCGCUCUUGGACUUGGGCUUGGCUGCGAUUGGGCCUGAUCUGGGCUUCAAGAUGGGCUGGCUUUGCGGGCUUCAAAACCACGCUGGACUCCUUGGGGCUGAAAUAAAACUGAACUGGGCCUGUCUUUGCUGGGCCCAAAAGAAAUUCACUGAGCUUGGAGACUGCUGGACUUGCAUUGGGCCAUUGAUGCGGCUGAUCGAGGCCUAGGAUUGAUGGGCUUCGAAGACUAAAUCCCUAUGGGCUCAAAAUGCGAACUGCGAGGGAAAUGGACGCAGGCUUCUUCGGUCCUCGUGGCAGCUCGACGGAUGAUGCUUCGUUUGCUUGAUUCGCUGACUCGGUGAAUUCCACACGGUUAGAUGAAGGCCGCGAGCUGGGUAGACCGAAGCUGAGAAAGACGCAUGGAUGCUUGGACGGCAGAGCUGGCGUGCGGUCAACGACGAAGGAGUUCGCUGGUGUCAAGCUGCGGGCUCUGCUGCUGCUUCGGUUGACUGCUUGGACGCGUGGGCGAGGGCAUCAAGCGGUCAACCAAGAGCUUCAAUUGAAGCUGUUGUUGACCGAACCAGGCGUACACACUGCCAAGUGGCAGCAAGCUCGGCAGAAGAUGGAGCUGGUGUCGUUGCUUGCGGAGAAGACCGUUCGGUGGAUGGGCAGAUGUUGAUGGAGAUGAUGAUGCUGUGCGACUUCGGUGAGUGGGGGGCUUCGUGGAGUCAACACCUGGGGCAGCUUGACGAAUUUUAUUGAAGAUUGACCAAGGAAAAUUUAUGGAGCAGCAGGUGGUGGAAGAAACCAGCGAAAAUGGAGUGGCAGGUUCGGUCUUCGGCAGAGACGGAAGGAGCUGACUGCUAAGGAAAUAAAAGAACGGCCGCAGGGAAAUUUGUAAGUGCUGAUUUCGUCCAGAGAAGAGGAGACCGACGUGCGAAUGAAGAUGGGAUCCGUUUAGCG